UUCCAUGUGAUAAACAGGAAAGGAACCAUCCAUAUAUAAAAAUCCUAUAGGGGAUUCAAAAAAAGGGUGCUGUCAUCAUAUCUGGUGCGAAUUAGGAGCUUUUGCAAUGGCAUAUCCCUUGGAAGAUGCUGAAUCUAGCAACCUCCACUUCUCUCUUUUUCGGUUUCCCUUUUAACCAAUAACUCACAUCUUUUUAAUAUGUAUUAUUAUGAUGGUGUUUAUGUUUUAAUUAUUUUAUUUUCGGAUUCCUAUAUAAGCCCAUAUGAAGGUUCAGUAUAAAACCCCCUCUUUAAUUAUGCACACCAUCACCAGGCCACCCCUUGCACCAACCAAGCAAGGGGUGACCUAGCUAGGGUCUUGAUUCCAUGCUGAUGCUGCUUUCUUUUUCUUCCACGCUUUCUUUCGUAUCAUUUGCUUGAAGGGAAGUACUUUCUCUUAUAGGGCAGCUUCGAUCCUUUGGCAUUUCGGUUUCCACGGCAGCUUCUGGUUUUUACUUCAUUAUAUGAUGUGUAAAGCUCGAAUAAACCUUCACCUAGGUCGAAUCAGAUUAUGCAAUCUUUUGCUGUUUUCUUUGGUACUUUUCUAUCGUAGUUAAAUAUUUGUAUAUUAUCAGUGGCCAAUGUUUCAGUGGGAUGCAGACUGCGGCUUAGUUUGUAUUAUCACUCGGCAUUGAUCUCUGUUUUGUACUUUAAAAACUAGAUUUGGGUCUGUGCUUAGUUGUGGCUUUUUCUUUAACAUAUUUGAAAUUGAUGCACAUAAAUGUGAAUGAAGUAUGGAACUGAAAUAAAUUUAUGCAAAGGUAAUUGCAAAACAAAGUAGUUCAUAUUCUAUCCGACUAUACUAUUAGAUUUUUUUUUUUUGGUGUUUGAUUAAAUCAUUAUUUAAAAUUUUAGAAUAAAACUAUUAAAAAUAAAUCAUGUCUAAGGAUUGAACUGAGAUUAGUAAAAUUAGGUAAAUAUAUGCUGUUUUAUCACUCAUCUUAUAAUUCAAUUGAUGAAUAAAUUCUUUUAUAAAUAUAUACAAUUUUUGUAUCUGUUGGUGUGUUGGUAAAAGUACUAGGAAAGCCCCUGUACUUAUGGAUAGAUUGCAUUUCGGCCCCUUUACUAAAAAAUGAACAAAUUAAUCAUUGUACAUUUCGGAACAUGCAAAUUAGUCCCUCUGUUAAAUUUUAUCUAUUAAAUGAUGACAUGGAACAUUAAUUUAAAUGGUUAAUUACUAAUUUGGUCCUUAAAGAAUAGCAAAAAUAUCAUUUUUAUUUUUUUAAAAAAAUUCUUAACAAUAAUUCUAAUUUUUUAAAAAAUUAAAAAUAAGUAUAAAUUAUUAAAAAUAUAAAAAAAUUAUGUUAAAACAAAAUCAAACCCAAAUUUAUUAAAGCCAAAAAUUACAUUCGAAGAAACUUUUUUUGGUGAAUCAUUGUAGUUUUUUUUUUUUUGAAUAAUUGAGCUCUCUUUCAAUAAUGGGGAAACAUGUAACACCCUAGCACCUGAACCAGUCGCCGGAUCUAAAUGUAUGUUGUCACAUUACGUUGUCAAAGUAACUCAGGCUAACUUACUACUUAACCACAUCAUGCAAUGAACAAUUAUCAUAUCAAUCCUUUUAUUCAUCCAACAUAUUUAUACACAUCCAUACUUAGUGUAUAAAAUCUUAAUUUAUCAAGUUACGGGGUUAUGUUAAGUCAAUUUGAGAGUUAGGAUUCAAAUUCAAACUCAAUUAUCAAAUUUCAAUGUUGUGUCUCGAGACAGGGAACUUCAUGUCUUGACACAGGCCCUAUGUUAUUUUUACUUUUUGACAAUUUUAGCUUCGAUACUAACAAGUCUUGAGACACUAGGAGUUGUGUCUCGAGGCAAGGUCUACAGAAAGUCCCAUGGAGGUCAAUUGAUUAAACAGGGCUCAUCUGACCCCCUUAAAUCGGCCUGACUCGUGGAACAUAUAGAGAAGCCCAUCUACUUGAAGCAUUGGUGGCCCAUUGAAACACUCUAGUAAAACUAGAGUUACCAGGGUAAUUAUUGUAAAUCCAAAGGGAUAAAGAUGUAUAGAGUUUAAAUCCCUUAGGACUCUCGCUUUGUAGAUAGGCACAAAUCUCACCUUUGAUGUAAUUUGAUCUGUAUUGCUGGAUCACUCAAUUGAAAACUUUCAAAAUAAUAGAAUACUUUUGAGAGCAUUUACUCAAACACUUGGUGUGCAUUAUUUUUUUGUGGCUUUUUUGUUCAUUAGUGGCUUUUUUCCAUUUCAAGUUUACUUCCGCUUUGCUUUGGUGCUUUAGAUAAUUUAUGCGAGAAUUCUCAUUUUUCACAUGUAAGGCUGACUUAGGUGGAUUUGAACCUAAGAAAUCACCUAAGCCGGUUUGCCAGACUAAAGUUCUACCCCUGUGGUAGUUGGUAUUCGAGCUAAUGUUUGAAGGUACCAAUUAAGAUGACAAAAGGAGUAGACAAGCAAAAUGUCCCAAUGGAGACCUGUGGGAGGUCCAGGAAAAAUAGUAGAUUGAGGGAUAUACUAUCGUCUUUGGAAAAUCAAGUGAUCAAUCUGGAGGAGUCCAUGCGGGAUAUGAGGGAGACCUUUGAGGUAGUUGAAGGAUGCACCGAUGAGUUGGACUUGAUGAAAUAACAACUCAGGGACUAUGUGGUGAAGGCUCUUAGUGUUAAUCAGGAUGUGAUAAAAAAAGGCCCUCAAUGCCGCCAAGGGUGAUCAGACUGAGAAGAAUGAUUCUCUCAAAGCUAGCCAUAGUAAUGGCUUUGAAUGACCAAGUUGUUGGAUCUGGUGCCCUUAGUGUAGCAUAUUUGUUUUCAAACUUGUAAUUUUUUCGAAUAGAUUGGUUAAUAAAACAAAUUCAUUGAUUACAUUAAAUAUACUUUGUACAAUUGUCCUUAUGUGAUUUUUGCACAAAAAGCAAAAUAGAAGUAAAUGUUGCUCAAUGGUUGUCUAAUAUUUAAACUAAUACUAAACGGUAUUAUGUGGUCGGAUCAUAAUACGAAAAUACAACUUAUAUUAGUAAAAAAGAACCUAAACAUGUCCUUAGUCUAAUCGAAAAAUAGCAAAUCGAUUAAAAGACUAAUAUGUUGUCUUUAAGUCCAAUUGGCGAAUUUUUUUGUCUUGGGAAUUGAAGCAUAAGACUCCCAGAAGAUAGAAACAUAGAUGUGACUAACUAGACUGAUAGGACAUCGGACUGGGCCCAAGAAAAAUAAAUCUUGAAACUGUUUAUGGAUUUAUUCACUUAUGGCGUUCACAGUGUGGCAUACCUAAAUCCUGAAUGGAUGACGAACUAUGUAUGUGUGACUCGUAUACUUUGAUGUAAGUAAAAACCUAAGUUCAAAUAGUUUGAUGAAGGGAACUUAUUUAUACUUUUCUCGAAAAUUAUAAACCAAUAAGAAGGUAAGUUCUGAUACGUAUGAUGCUUAUUAAAUUUCUCUAAGCAAGAUGGGUCAUAUUUUUAUGUUAGAAUAUGUUUUGAAAGGGGUUCUUCUUUCUUCUUCUUCCUCUUCCUCUUCCUCUUCCUCUUCCUUUUCCUCUUCCUCUUCCUUAAGUGGAAAUUACUGAUACUUUCUUUAAGUCUGAAUGUAUGUAUUUACCAAUAAUCUAGAAGCCAAUGUAAUGUUAUGAUUAGUGGCUAUUCCAUUCAAGGGUAAGUAUUACUAUUCUACAUGUUAAGUUCUGAAAGAGUAAAUCUGUAAAAAGUGUAUAAACAGUAAGACAUAAUUAUAAAGCUUUACACGGGAGUUGUCAAUGCUCGAUGGUAAAUUGUAUACAAAUGAUUCUUAAUGAUGUUCCUAUGUUUUUUAAACAGAGGUUGAUGUAGUUUCAUAAUGGAUGGUUGAGUUGGUAGUUCACGCUGCAGGUCGUGGAUGUCAGGUGAGUUCUAUAUUGACUACUACAUGUAUAUUGUUCAUAUUGAGUGUCAUCUAUAAAAAUUGAUUGGACUCUAGAUCUGAAGUCAUGAAAAGUAUAGUAUGUGAUGAUUGGUGUAUGAGUAUUGAAAUAUUAAAGUAUGACUGAGUAUGUAUAUGUCUGAAAUGUAUACUAUGAGACGUGUGAUCUGAUUGGGUGUAUGUUAGUGAAGUAAAAUGUUAAAGUUAGAUUGCGUCAAUGCAUGAAGGGUCUGUCAAGAGAGUCUAUGUUUGUUCACUGCAAUAGUGUUUGAUAGAGUCCAUCGGGACUGAAAACACGAACUUUGAUAUGAACUUUGAAGGAAAAGCCCAUGGCCAUGACAUCGUCUGGAUAAGAACUAAGGAAUGGUGAUUACCCAAUAGGGUUCUCUGCAUGUUCCGGGACGAUGAUGAGCAAACCUUACGUAAUGUGAGUUUAGGAAAAUCUAUAUCGUCAACACGACAACAAGGAAUAGCCUUUAUGGUGAACUCUAAAAGAACAGCCUUUGUGGCGAACUAUAAAAGAAUAGCCUUUGUGGCAAACUCUGAAAGAAUAGCCUUUGUGGCAAAUUCUAAAAGGAUCGCUUAGUGGCGUAUUCUAUCUGAUUGUUUGUAUAGUGUUUUUGCUAAGUCUAUGUGGCAUGAAUUGUUAGGAAUAUCUGGUAAGCUAUGAAUCUAAAUGUAUAUCUCUCUGGUAAGAGAUGAGUAAAUUAUAGUAGUUUUGUAAUAAGUAUGACCAAGAUACAGUAUUGAUAUGCUCUAGAAUAAGGAUUGAAUAAAUUCUUAAGGGUUUUCCAUGAAAGAAAUAUGUAUCUGUAUGUCAAGAAGGGUAUUUGUUAUGAUGAUUUGUAAGUAUGAAAAGAAGGGGUAUCGCAUCUUCUUACAAAUUUAUUCCGAAUUUGAGACAAUGUUGUUUUGAAUUAUGAGGUUUUGUUAUAGCAUGAUAAGGAGUUCAUUUGGAUGUUAUAAGCUUUGAAUUAUCACUAUGGAUAUGUGAACAGAAUUGGAUCAGGGUAAGUUUGAGCGUGAACCAUUGGUAUGAAACUCUGUGUAAGUAUCCGUCAUGUGUAUCUGCCUAAGACAAUGUUAGUGAACUAUUGUUUGAAAUAAGAGUAUGGGUUAAGGCAUGCAUUGAUUGGAAGUGGUUUCUAAGAGUAUGUUCUGUUAAUACUGUGAUGGUCCCAACCAUAGUAAAUGAUACAGAGAAGUAGUUGACUCAUAGAAAAUUCCUACAAGAUUACAAAGCAUCCAUCAAUGUAUGGUUCAUGAGCUCACGAAGUACUAUUGUACUUACAAGGUUUAUUAUUGCUUUUUAAGGUUGUUGUAGAAGAGACUUCGCUCGAGGAACGAUAGUAGGAGUACGCCAAGUUUGUAGUGGAGUGAGCUAUUAUGCAUAUAGUGGAUAUGUGGCGUAGUCUUAAAUACAUCCUUUGAGUAUGUCUUAAAAUGAUUUUCUAUCUUGUAGUGGUCUGUAACAAAUCUGAUGUAAUAAGUACUUAUCAUAUAUAUAUAUAUAACAUUUUAAAUUUCCAAAUGUUAAAGUUUUUUUUUCUUUUGGGAACUUCAAAUAAUAGUUUUAAAAUAAAUGAAAAAUUGUAAAUUGUUUUUGCUAAAUGUUUUGUAUCGUUUAGUGACACCCGAGAUCCGGACCCAGUGAAUUGGAUCGAGUUGAGGGCUUUACAAUGGUAUUAACAUGUUGGACUCACCAUCAAGUCAUCAUUGCGAGAUGCAUGAGGCGGAUGUCUUCAAUAGGAUGAGGAUGCCUACAAUAAGGCAGAUCCUGUCAUUCAUUCUGAUUUGAUAUAGAGCAGUUGAACUCACGUGGGAUUUGAUAACCAAAAAGAUCACGUUCUUAACAGAAUGUUGAAUAUCUGGAGCAACAAAUGGUUAACUUCCUUGAAUGGUUAUCUUCUGCUUGUCUGGGUGGUUAGGAUGCACCUCCUCUUGGUGACACUCCAUUUGUAGCAAGUAGGGUGCAUCCCUCAGAUAGUCUUCCGAUCUGCCACGUGUCCUCAUUCAUGGAAGAGAUAUGACAAUGCUAAAAUGUUAUAUUUAUAUUAUAUACAGCACCAAUACCCUCUUCCCCUCAGUAUUAUUCUACAAUUACAUUCAUGUCAUUUUUUACAAAGUUUUCAAUAUUCAAUGAGUGGGUUCAAUACCUAUUAGUAUUGAUCAGACAUAAAUCUUCUAUAUGGCCAUGGAACUUCAUUGUUUGAAACUAUUCAUGAAUAGCAAGAAGUCUAACUUAAAAUGCCUAAUGUUGAGGCUCCUGAAGGAGCAUUCCCUCAUAUGUUGUCUCUUUUCAAACGUACACAUUGAACGUGGUAUUUUCUUCUCAUGUUUUCAAACAACUUUUUCUCAUGAUAUUUCAUCAUGUUGCAUCCAAUAAAAAAAAUUCAAGAAAACAAUUAAGAAACUAAAAUAAGGCCAGCCAAAGGGGUUCUUAUCAUUAUUAAUUAUUAAUAAAAGACUUUUACUGAGUCUGUCAGGCAGUGAUUUCGAGAUCUGUUCUACUUUUGAAACUCUAAGACAGUGUAGAAGUAAUCAAUAUAGAAAGCUCGAAAAUGAGGGAAACCAGCAGAGAGACCAAGCUGUUUGAAUUCAUCUUGUGUCCUAUGCUUACCCUUGGCCCUGUAAAUUGUCAUCACAAAAAUGUCACCUUCCAGGAGUGCCCGAGUCCUAUGACUAUCAUCUGAUUCCUUGGGCAACACUGGCUCGCAUGCUAUCAAUUUCCCUCCCACAGGAAGUGCCUUGUAGCAGUUCUCCAUUAUCGCCUUGCAUUCAUCAUCUGUCCAUGUUGUCAACACCCACUGCACCACCCAUUGCCAAAUUUGGUCAAAUUAAUGCUUUUGACACUAUUCAUGGAAUGACAUUAAUUCAUAAAUAUAUAUAUUAUACUGAAUAAGCAUUACAACCCAAGAUUUAAAUCCUGGACUUGGUGCCCACAUGCUUAUAACUCACACUAGAUCUUACCACUGACCUUGGCAUUUAUUCAAAUAUCUUAUUUUUGAGUAAUUUUAAACAUCAAAAUAUUAAAAAUAUAUAUAUGUAGUAUGAAUUCAUUUUACAAGAUAAUCCUAAAGUCACCGUAAGCUUGGAUUGGAUCACCCAAUGCCCUAGAAUUAAUGUCAAUGUGAAUGCCCUAUAUAGUAUGAAUUCAUUUUAAAGAGAGCUUUAAAGCUACCCUAGAAUUAAUGGACCACCCAAUGCCCUGCCAACAGUGACGUAAGUAAUGUCAAUGUGUCAAUAAAUAAGCAGAUGAUGAACAAAACGACAACUCAGAGGCCCCAGACUGAAACCUAACUCCAAUUCAAAACUUUAUUUUAAUGUGGUUUCAAGUUCCGAGAUGACCCAAUUGGUUGGAAAUCUUGCGGUGCUACCGCAACGCAAAGAUCAUGGGUACAGCAAGGAUAUAGGUUAAAUGACAAAUUUCUCACUAUAAUAUUAGAACUUGUCAUUGGUUUCUACAAAUUAAAAUUUGUCAUUGAAUGAUUCUUAAUAUUUGUAUUGGGACGAAAGUAAAAUUAUCACUAUCUUUCAAUUCAAUAUUUGAAAUGUCACUUUAUGUUUGUUUAAUUGAAUUUUAUUUGAAUUUUGAUAUCCAAUUUUAAUUUUGAAUAAUUUGAAGACCAAAUUUAGUAUUUAUUAUAAUAUUUAACAAUAACAAAAUAACUAAUAAAAAAUUUAUUUUAUAACAACUAAACUUAAUUUUUAGAUUUUUUUAAAUUUUUCAAGUUAUGUUCAUUUAUUAUUUUUUAAUAUUCUUAUAAAUCAUUUUUUGUUAAAAUAAGAUAUUCAAAAUAACUUUUUUUUUUCAAAUAAACCUCAAAUUGUGCUAAAUCUGAAUAGUAAAUUUUAAUUUAAAAAACAAAGUUGGUGGCAGAAUUGAAACAAAUUUCUACAAUGGCAAAUUUGUCCAUAAUUUCAAAGUAAAAUGGCAAAUUUACCUAUUCUUAACCCAAGAAUAAAUGUACUAAAUUCACAAAAUUUAGCAGAUUAAAUAUUAAACGAAGUUAAAUUUUUUAUUACAUUAACUACAAAAGCAAAAGUUCCAUAUCCAAACAAUGAGUUUAAUUAAAAAGUAAUUAAUUAUGAAUAAUCCUUUUAUAUACUGUAAAUAAAGUAAAAAAUACAAUUUUAUAUAUUAUUGGAACAAAUUAUGACAUAAAUUUAUCAUUUAUUUAAUAUUUAUCAUUUAAAUGUUAAUGUCACAUCGGUUCACGUGUCAAAAAGAUAACUUCUCUAAAACUAUUACUUUCUUUAUUUGUGUCAAUAUACUAUUUUAGAAAAUAUGAUUAGUAAUUGUAAAAAUCAAAGAAAAAGAUUAGGUGAAAUAUAUGAAAUUCACCUUCAUGAAGAUUGCAUCAGCCGCUGGAAUUGACUCAAACAUGUCACCCCCAACGUGAGUCACGCCUACAAUCAAUCAACACUUUAACAGCCACGCACCCUUCAAUUAAUAAAAACAAUACCCAACCUUUUCUUUUAAUUAUUUUAAUAAAAAUAGAUUAAUAUCAUAUCUUAAACAAAUUUCAAAUUAUUUUAAUAACAGUUUUUAAAAAUUAAAUUAAAUUAUGCUAUCAUGUAAUGUAAUUUAAUUAAUUUUAGUUUUUAUAUUUUCAAAUUAUAAAAUUUUAAUUAAGAUAAUUUUUUGAUAUAUUGGUUUUAAAUUACCGAGUAAUUAUCUCUUUAAAUGAUAGCGAAGGUGAAAGUAAAAUUGAAUAGUGAACAAGGAAGAUAAAAAAUCUAACCCGGAAUACUAGGUGCUUUGGCAACGACCUCAGGCAAAUCAAAGUUGAUUCCCUCAACAUGGGGAUAUUUCUGCAAAAUCAUUCGGAGGCAAUCCCCCGCGCUGCCUCCCACAUCGACUAAUCUCUUCACUCCUUUCAACCCAUCAUAGCCGUCCAAUAUUGCUCUCAUGAAUGGCACUGAAACUCCCGACAUCGCCUUUUGCAUCAGCCCGUUCAUUUCGGGUUUCUUCCCAUAGUAACUAUAAGCUCCCUCCCCAUUCGCCUUCACGAAUGGCUCCGAUGUCGGAUUCAGCACUGCUUCGUGCACCAAUGGCCACGCUCUCAUCAAAGCAUCCUAAUACAUUUAUUCCACUCAAUUACCUUUCUUAUUUCAUGUAAAAACCCAUAGCUCUACUCUUCUACACAUGACGGUUUCACUGUAAAUCAAUCAAAUGAAGGAGAGAUCUAGGGAGAAUCUGUGGUUGAAAGUGAAAAAGUGGGGUAGGCCUACCUGGUGGUGCUGGAGGACAUAUGGUGCAUAGGAUAGACCCUCAGCGUCUGUUACGAGUGUUUUUCCGAUGUCAGUGAGGGAGUAUUUUCUCUCAGGGGAGUGGGAGUCAUCACCGCUGCAAUUAAGGUGUUCAUCGAAAACGCCGUAGCUGGUGAGCAUACGGAGGAUACGCUGGAGGUUUUCAGGGUCUCCGCCGCCGGAAGGGAGUACCCGUGAGAGAAUCUGGACGACGGAGAGUGGGGUGUUGGCGCCUCCUUGCCAGAUAGCAUCGGGUACGUUGAGGCGGACGAUAGCGUUGAGAGACAUGGGGACGCUUAUCAUGUUGGCCAGCUCCAUAAUGGCUAGCCUAGCUUUGUUACUGCUCUCCGCUCUCUGGACGUCACCCAUUAUAGGGGCUUCAAUAUCUGAUCUUCGAUCUCUCGCUGCGCUGGUUCGAUGAGGUUGAAUUGAGGUUUCAGUGGGUAGGAGAUUUGAGAUUUGAUUGCUGUGGUGGAGAAAAAUUAAUAAUAUCGCAACUUUUUCAGUUUUCUUUUGUUUCUAAAAUUGGUAAUUUCUUUUACAUUCAAGGUUGAACUUUUUUAUUUAAGUUAGUGGCUUUUAAGUUGGUAAUUGUCUCUAUAUUGGAGUAAUUUUUUUUUAUUCAAGGUAGUCUUUGAUAUUUUCAUAAAAACCAUAAGGUUCAAGUUUUAAUGUGGAAAUAAUUGUCAAGUUCAAGCCUCAAUAUAAGGACAAUUGUCAAGUUCAACAAUUAAUUUGGACAAAAAAAAGUUUAAGCCUACUGUGAAAACAAUUGCCUAGUUCAAACCCAAUGUGAGAACAAUUACUAAGUACAAUGCCUAACUUGGGCAAAAAAAAGAUUAACAGUUCAAGUUCUAAUGUGAGAAUAGUUGCUAAUUUUAGCUCUAAAUAGUGAUUUAACUCAAAUAGUAAUAGGGUAAAGUAUAGAAUUAGUCAUUCAACUAUUAGCGUAUUUCUGUUUUGGUCACCAAACUAUAAAAAUUUUCAAUUUCAUCAUUAACAUUUUAAAUUGCUUUUGUUUUGGUCACUCUCUAUUAAAUAGUUAAUGGAUGACAUGACCUUUUUUUCUAACUAGUAUAAUAAUAGCACAUUUAAUCCUCAAAACUUACGUAUUCUGUCAAUUUCUUGAUUAGUGUUGUAACACCCCUAACCCGUAUCCGUCGCCGAAGUAGGGUUACGAGGCAUUACCGAACAAACACAACCAUUUUUAAAACCAAACUGAUCACAAAUAUGAAAAUUAAAUCUUUUUUUUUUCGCAUAGCUAUUUAUAAUUUACGAUCAAAAUCUAACCAACAUCGUACUCAAACCUAUACAUGCCAUAAGAUCGAGUUCAAAUAUUUAACAAAAUACCAAAAGAAGUCGAUAGUGUGAUAGACUAUGCUGAUGAUCCCCGAGCUCGUAACGCGUCUCCAAAAUCUAUAAAAAAAAUGAAUGGACAAAAACAAUCAAAGUAAGCUUUUAUAGCUUAGUAAGUCUAUAGCAUAUCUAAAAUACAUAUAAAAGAAUCAUAUAAUUCUUUAAGUAAAUUUAUUGAAAUCACAAAUAUCAAAUAUGAUUACUAAUCAAACAUUUCUAUAUUGCGUUAUUUUGUUUAAAUCUAAAAAGAUGUAUAUUUAUCUAAUACACAUAAACGGACAAAUGUAUAUACAUUAUCUGCAUAUAAUCAAGUUACUAGCAUAAUCAUUAACGGCAUAUACUAAUUUCUAGAGUACUUAUUGUUCACACUUCAUCGGAUCCAUUUAAAUACAAUUGUUCAAAUACAUAUACCAAAAGUAUAAUUUUUUUUAUAUAUACUCAUCAACCAUAAAUGCCGAAUGCACAUAUACACUUAUACCCACUUAUGCCGAAUGCAUACAUAUAUACACUUAUUUUCACCUAUGCCGAAUGCAUACAUAUAUACCCUUAUAUUCACCUAUGCCGAAUACAUACAUAUAUUUUUAUCUAUCAAUUGCUUAGACCAAAUAUAUGUAUAUAUGUAUACGCUCAUCAAGUUAAUAUGACUAAAAUCAUAUGAUUGAACAUUUAUGUAUUCAUCAAUUUCAUAUAAUCAAAAUCAUAGAGGUAUCAAUUGUAUAUUAUCACAUAAUUUAAACGGAUUCACCGGCACUUAGCCUGCUAGGUUUUAAAAUCUGAUUCGGUACACCAGCUCUUGAGCUUGCUAGACUUAUAGUCCGAAAUGUAUCGCCGGCAUUAAGCCUGCUAGACGUAUAGUCUGAAUAAUUUCACCGGCAUUAAGCCUGCUAGACGUAAAGUCUGAAUUAUGUCACUGACAAUAAAUCCGAAUAGUACUGAGCUUUAACAAAAGAAUCUCAAUUCAUAGGAGUUGUAUCUCAUAAUGGUCUAUAGGAUCCACAUAAAAAAAUUUAGCUCAAUAAUUUAUAAACUAUAUCUUUAAACUAUAUAGGUAUAUAAAGUUCAAUCAUCAAAUCCAGCUCAAUAUCUUAAUUAUACAUCCGAAUAUAUAUAUAUAUAUAUAUAUAUAUAUAACUUAACACAUUGAAGCAUACUACUAAUAUCAUACUUUCGAACACCUUAUGAUAAUCAAAGCUAAUAAUUUCAUAUCUUCAACUCCGUUCAAGAACUUUUACAUGAACAUACAUACAUAAUCGAACCUCCCUUAUACAUAUACAAGUUUCAUACUAAAACUCAUUACAAAAACAUAUACAUGCAUAAUUGCAUAGUCGAACCCCAUAUAAACUUAUAUAAAUGACAUACCUAAAUUCAAUACUAGAACAUAUACAUGUAGAUUUGCAUAAUAUAUAUCCAAUACAAAUUUUAUACCAUUAUAAACCUAUGCUUAUUUNNNNNNNNNNNNNNNNNNNNNNNNNNNNNNNNNNNNNNNNNNNNNNNNNNNNNNNNNNNNNNNNNNNNNNNNNNNNNNNNNNNNNNNNNNNNNNNNNNNNAAAAAAAAUAUAAACUUUUAUACUCCAACUAAAUUCGAUAACAUUUAUAAUUGUAUAUCCUUAUAAACCUUCAUGCUUUAACUAAAUUCCAAUGACUAUAUAAGUAUAUACCUAUGAUUCGAACUUGUUACAAUAAUACAUAUAAUUCACUCAUACUUUUAAUUAUUUCAACCAACAUAUUUUUAAUUAUAAUACAUCCAAAAACAGCUCAUAUACUUAUUUAUAUACUGAUUUUAUGACAUUAAAUAGCUAAUAGACUUACCUCGAACGAUGGAAAAUCGAAGUCGGACGAUUAUUCGACUAAUUUGGCUUUUCCCCGAUCUAACUCCGAUUUCUUUGGUUCUCGAUCUAAAUAUAUUAAAAAUAAGAUAAUUUAUUUAUUAACACAUUCAAUUUAAUCCAAAAACACAUAAUUUGGAAAAUUACUAUUUUGCCCCUAAUAUUUACACUUUUUGCAAUUUAGUCCCUAUUGCAUAAAACACAAUUUAUACAAAAUUUGCCCAUACCACAUAAGGGCCGAAUAUUCAUGGUUCUCAUACAAGUCCACACAUUGCAUUUAUUUCACACUUUAGUCCCCCAAAAAUUUAAUUUCACAAUUUAGCCCUAUUUUCUCAGUUUCACUAAAAAUUCCAAUACAAAACAUAUUAAUCUAAAAUAUAUCUUUCAUUAUUCAUCAUCAAACAUCACAUAACACAAAUUUUCAUCAAUGGAACAACUCAAAAUAUUCAUCAAAAUCAAAAAUUUAAACAUGGGUCGGAUAGUAUUCGAAGCAACGAUCUCAAAAACGUAAAAAUUAUCAAAAACCGAACAAAGAACUAACCUUAAUCAAGCUUUAAAAUGGCCGAAUAUUACUUGACUUCCUUUCUUUUUUUCUUUUGCAUGAAUUCGGCUAUGUUAAGAUGAAAACAUUCAUCUUUUCAUCAAUUAUUUUAAUUUUAAUGUUUAAUUUAACAUUUGACUAAAUUAACCUUAUUAUAAUAAAUUUUUAUAACAUAUAUAUUAAGGUCAAUUAUGUCAUAUAUCACCCACUAUCUACUUUAUCGUCUUAUUGCAUCAUAAAUCCUUCCAUUUAAAAAGACAACAACAAUUAGGUGCUUUUAUAAUUAACCCCUAAAUUUCCAUUUUUCGCGAUUUAAUCCUUUUAUUUAAUCGGACACUCAAACAACAAAAUUAAAACACGAAAAUUUCACACAAUCAAAUGCACACAAAGUAAACACACAAAAUAAUAUUAAAAUAUUUUUUUGUCUCGGACUUGUGGUCCCGAAACCACUAUGUCCGAUUAGGGUCAAAUCGGGUUGUUACAAGUGUAGUUUAGCCAUUGUCACUUGGUGCAAUAAUCUGUUGCUCCAUGGUCUUUCGGUUUCAGUUGUAGGCCCCGAGGGAGAGAGUCAGUUUGGUAGUAAAGUUGAGCUUAAGCCAUGGUGUUUUUGGAAAAACCAAUAGUCCACACGCUCUAUAAUCAAUGGUAAACAUGUUGAUGUCUUCUAAGACCUCAAGAUUGCUAAAUUCAAUGGCAAAAACGAACCCAUCUUCAAGUACUAUGUUGUUGUUGUUUGCAAUAAAGAAGUUAUUUUCUUGUUGGGGAUCUAACGAAAGAAACUUAUAAUAAACUGGUUUCAAGUGUCACAAGGCUAGAACUUUAGUCUGGCAAACUGCGUGGCCUUGAGUGAUUUCUUUACUUCAAAUCCACCUAAGUCAGCCUUACUCUCAAAAAUUAGAAUUCACAAAGGAAUUUCUCCAAGGAACCAAAAUAAAUCGGAAGCAACUAAAACAGAUAAAGGGACUUGAAUCGAACAGAAAAGUCAUAAGAAAAUAAUAGCACACAAAGUUUUUGAGUAAAUUCUCUUAAAUGUAUUUUCUUACUUUGAAUGGAAAACAAGGGAUAAAGUGAUUAUAAAUGAGGGGGAAGACCUCUGUUUUAGUUGAGUUCCCUUAAUCCCAGUGGUACAGAUUGAAUUACAUCGACAAUUGUGUUGGAUGUGGUGCCCUAAGUGUAGUAUAUUCGUUUGUAUACUCGUAAUUUUUUCCAAAUUACUUUAAUAAAAUUAUUCAUGAAUUACAUUAAUACCCUUUGUAUGUUGUCCUCAAUGGUUUUUGCAUGCAAAGCAAAAUGGAAGUAAAUAUUAGCUCACUAGUUGUCUAAUGUUUAACUAAUACUCGCGGUAUUACGUGGUCAAAUCGUAAUACAAAAAGACAACUUAUAUUAGUAAACGAACCUAAACAUGUCCUUAGUAUAAUCGAAAAUGAGCAAACCUAUAACACCCCUUGCCCGACCCCAUCACCGGGUCCAAGCUACAGGAUGCCACAUUCGUUGCUAGAGCAACUAUAAUCAAAUAUACCGUAAAUAAAUCAAUCAAACAUACAAACAUAUCAUAAACACAUUCUUAUUAUGAUACGUAAUUAAAUUUGAGCCUUAAUCGAGCUUACGAAAGCUCAUUUGUUAACCCGAGCAUAAAAUAUGACCAAACUGUAAAGUUUUAAAAUUCCAGAGCCAAUGUCGUGACGUCACUUCCUCCACAUCAUGACGUCUCCAAAUAUUUUUUCACGUCACAAUUUCAGACCACUCGACAUCGCAACGUCGCAUACUGUUGGUCGAUGUUACAACGAGGAAGAUUGCUCGUUGGUACAUGGACUCUGUUUUUGGUAAAUUUUGAGUCAUUUGGUACCUAUUUCAUCUCAACCUCUCAAAUUCUAAGUUUGGUGCAUAAUUGCACAACUUACCUUCAUGAAAACAUACCAAAAACACAUAUUAAACAUUUCAUUUUACCUUUUCAAAUCAACCAAUUCAAUAGGCCACAAUUUGACAUCAAAACGUAUCAAUUCAACUUGUUCAAACACAAUCUAUUCUACUAUUCUUUUAUCCAUUCAAUGUCAUCAUUUUACCUAUACCAUUUCAUUCUCAAACAUACCAUUUUAAAUCCAUCCACAAUGUCACAACAAGUUACUAAAAUAAACAUAUACAUGUUAGUAUUAACCUUGUCAAAUUCAAACAUUAUAUAGGAUUCAAACUAAGUUAACAUUCCAAGCUACCACAUAUGAAUACCUAUGUACAUGCCAUAUAAUUGGACUUUUAAACGUUUGAAAGACUACUGAAUCAACAACAAGAUAGUGUGAGCUUCUCAUCGAUCCGCUAAACAGGUUUUGCAAGUUAGCAAUCUAUAAGGAAAAAGGAAGGCAAUGGAGUAAGCAUAUCAAAUUCUUAGUAAGCAAAUAGGUAUUUAAAUGAGAUUAGUGUCUAUCUACACAAUGAGAGUCCUUAGUGAUUUAAACUCUAUACAUUUUUGUAACGACCAGAUUUCUAAUUAUGUUAGAAAAUACAGUUUCGGGACCUUGUUUUCGUAAAUCGAGUCCGUAAAUAUUAAAUAGGGAUAUUUACAAAGUUAAUAUUUAUAUGAAUUGAAAUUAUGAUGGUUAAUUUAGCCAAAAUUGUGUUUAAUUAAGGCCUAGGGACUAAAUUGUAAAAUCCAAUCAAUAUAGAUUUUUUUAAUUGGUAAAUGGCUUGGGGACUUAAAAUUGAAAUUAUCUAAAGGGCCAAAACGGUUAAUAAAGCAUUAAUAAUCAUGUGUUAGUAUAUGGUAAUGAUGAUUUUGGAUUAAUUAAGUAAAUCAAGGUUAAUUAAGAUUAAAACCUAAUUAAUUAAACUAAUUAAAAUUUAAUCUAUAUAUAUGUAAAUUAGUGAAAGAAGAGAUGAAGUAUCAUCUUCUUCAACUGUCUAGAGAUUGAAACUAAGGAGAGGACGCCAUUGUUGUUUUAUUUAAGCUUUUUGGCCUUAAUUUCAUGUAAGUCCCUAAUCUUUUUUCUUUGAUUUAUAUAUAUAUAUUAUCUUGGAAGCUUGAUUAAGCUAACCCAAAGAUUAAUUUGAUCAAUUAGUGAAUUUUUAUAAAGUUUCCAUAGUUGAAAAAUUGAUAAAAUUAGUGUGAAAUUGAUAGAAAAUAAGUUUAAUUUAAGAAAAUGGACUAAAUUGUAAACAUCAAUUGAUAAUUUCGUACAUUAGGACCAAAUUGAAUAAAUAUAAAUUUUUCAUGAAAUUUUGGUAGGGAUAGAAAAUAUAAGGUCCCUAAUAGAUAUAUGUGAAGUCGGGUUUUAAUUCGAAUGUCGAGAUUGAAAGUUAUGAUUGUCUCAUGUUUAAGGACUAGAUUGAAUAGAUUGCAAAAUAUGUGUGACUUUUUAAUUGAUGUUUAAUUGAGAUGGAAUUUAAUAUUGUGUAUCAUUGAAUUAUUAUUAGCUAAAGAUGAUGCAGGGCUGUUGAAAGGGAAAGGAAAGGCGAUGGUCGACGGCGAGUAACUCGAGUAUUUGAUUUGUGUUUCUAUUAUUCAAAUCACUAUAAUUGUUACAUAUUUAUACUGUUCUGCAUAAUAUGAUAUUGGUGUGAGAUGAAAAUGAUUAUUUGAAUUGAAUUGUUAUGAUUAAGAUUGAUUAUCGAAAUAGAGGACUAAAUUGAAUAGAAUUGAAAAUAGUGUAAUUUGAUGAAACUAUGAAAUUGACUUUGAAUUAGGAUGGAAUAUAUUUUUUAUGUGAUAAAUUGAUGAAUUGAAUUGUUAAUUGGAGAUGAUGAAGUGUAAUUUUUAUUAUUUGAUGAAUUGAAUAAUUAGUUACCCUAUUAACUGUUCGAGCAAAUAUGAUAGGGUGAGUACGGGUUACUUCGGCUAUAUGUCAAUAAUUGCUAGGUGCAUUUUUCUUCGAACGUUCAGAUGAGUGCAGGGUGCAACUUAUAUUUCGAUUAUAUCGAUGACCGUAGGACGUAAUCUAUUUACUUCGGAUUGCACUGGGUGCCAAAUUUAUGUUUUGGUUGGGAUGUGUAAAUUCGUUUGAGUCUGAGUCAUGUUAAUAGGGAUAUAAAGUGUGAAUUAGUUAAUUAAUAUUGGAAAUGACUAAAUGUUACAAAGUUGUACCACAAAUACUUAUUUAUGAUAUUUGAUUAACAAUAGCAUGUGAAAGACCAUGCAAACCGGUUAACGAGACUAAGGGUCGAUAUGGUAAGAUAAGGAAUGAUUGAUUUGAUUCGAAAUUGAAAUAUGAAUAUGGUGGUAUAUGUCAAAUUGAGUAGGAAUAUGAAUAUUGAUGAUGUUGGUAUGGUAUUAUCAUCUAGCUUAAUAGUGAAGUAUUACACAGUUGAUUCAUUUGGCAUAAUUAGUAUGUUUAUGGCAUGUUAUAAAGAUAUGUGUUUUCUAGAUUAACAUGAUUUGCAUAUGAAAUGAUAUUGUAUAUGAAUUGGUUGAUAUUUAAAUUUGAAAUUGAUUUCCUUUCACACUUAGCCUUAGAGGCAGACUUAGAGAGACUUUUCCUUAUCCUUGCCUUCUUAUGGCUCACGAAAGUAAUCACCUUUCAUUCUUACCAAAACCUUUAACAUGGUUUGUCCUCUCGUAAAUUCACUUUAUACCUACUAUGCCCAAUUUGUAGAUCCCUUGGCAUUUAACGAAAUGUAGAUGCCAGCUCAUUGGCGGGCUUCUAACCAUUCCAUUGUUGGAUACACUCCAAUUUAUAAUUUCUUUAUGGAAUCUUAAUUUGGUGGUCUCUUAAAGGCGAACAUCGCCUAACUAACAUAUUCUCCAGUUUAAUUAUGCAAAUAGUUCUACGAAUCUUAGAUUUGUUCAUACGUUAACUCUGUCCACCUAAUGGGUCAAUUCAUUUUCGUCACAGGGCAGCUAAGAUCGUCCAUGAAUGUUUUCAUCACUACCUUGGCCAUGUAUCAAGGCUAUCACUCAAAUUUUGGAGUUCUACUCUAAUGGUGACAAAGGUUUAUCUGCCCUAUUUGAAAUGGGUAACAAUUGGCAAAUAUUCUCGCCUUAAGAAUACUAAAGGAUUCUCCUUUCUCUCGAUGCCAAUAGGUGUCAUUAUGUAUUGAUGGACUUGAAUGCCUCUUUACCAUUCGUUAAAUUUUUCCAUAACCCUCCAAGCUCUCCUUUGGUUAUAAAUAAACCAGAACGCUAAGUGGAAGUUCAUAAGUCUACAGGCCUUUGGCUUGGCCAAUGCAUUUGCUACCCUUCACUUUUCUUCUUCCUAUCCUUCUUUUUCUCAUCUAAUUACAUUAUUAGAGUAUAGUUCUCCUACUACUCUAGGUGUUAGAAUCUAAAAACUAAAUCAUUUAUCCACUGCCUUCCUUAAUCUACACACUGGCUAAAUCCUCAAUAGAAAGCAUUGGCAAGGCGAAGGUUCCUGAUUUACAAGGACAUAUCUAGUUGUUACAAUAUGGUGGGUUACCCGUAAUCCCGAGAAAUCCGUUUUCCUACCUUGUUUCUCUUCUUGGGGCGAACCGAGGGAAGUGUUGUCUGGGCGACGCUAAUGGAUACCUCAUCUCCCUUGAAGGAGAUGUUUAUCGUUAGAGAUUAUACACCUCCAUUUCUGAUCAAUCUAUAAUAAGACAAGAAUCGACAUAAAAAACUAGGGGAGUCAUUAUCCUUAACCUCCUUAUUCCUUUUUUAGACCCUACUCAUUGCGACUCUUAUUGUAACAUCAUGGGGAUACCACGUCAGUACCGCUCACUUCUAUUUUCUUUUAUUGUUAGGAAUCCACCUCUCUUCUUUAACAACUCUAGCAGUUUCCUUUCAACCAUUGACAAGGUGGAGAAAAUCCUAGACUGCCCUUUAAAAUGGAAGUGAAGCUAAGCGGGCUGAACUCAAGAGGGUCACCUAUUAUAGCGGACAACGUCGUGUACAACUCUUUAGAUUCAUAGAAAUAUGUCUGCCAGAGUUGGGGGUUAGGGGGUUUACCUAUGCUCCCCUUGCUUAGAGGCCUAAAUUCAAACCUUUUGAGGGUUUGCAAAAGAAAAAGGGAUUGGUGGGAGUUGCUCCCUGAUGAAAAGGUGCACUUGCAAAAUGGGGAGUCUCUAAUCCCUUGAGGAAUGUAUAGCAGACACCAAGCCUGACAUCCAAGGGUGCAUUCCUCAACUCUCUUGUCUAAUCCCCAUUUAAUCUUGACACAAAGGUCUUUCUCGUUAAAUUUCGAACUUGCAACUAAGUACUCCCAAUGCUAUGAGUUCUUUCGAUGCGAACCUUACAACUCCAUUUGUAGGCUUACUAGUGGCGUCCUCGGUUUCGACCCUCCUACUCCUUUAGUUCCAAUUAGUAGAUUUUCAGAGGGGAUGGAAGGCAUCCGACAACUUUCUUAUUUCCAAGAAUUAGGCAUAGUCAUUCCUAAAUCCUAUUAAAGGACUAGCCAAGAGGAAGUGAAAACACCAUUAAGGCAGCAACCAACUUGGUGAACAAAAAUGAUUAAUUCCCUUUGUAUAUUUUCUUUAAUGAAAAUUUCUUUUCUCUAGCACUUGUACUUUCAAUCACUGUAUUUAUUUAUCCUUUCUUUAUAUCCCUCUUUUUUGAUUCAUCUACUUUUACUUUCAUUUUUGUCUACCAAUUUAGGCGAAUAUAUCUACACUCAGCACAUGAUAACUUAAUAAAAUAAGGACUUGAAAGACUUAGCCAGAUCAACAUUAUGCACAUAAGGGGUACUAUUUCCAAUUCCUACAUCCAAAAGACUGACUAAACCAUGCUUUAAUACAACUAAAUUUUUAACACCCUUACCGGACCCAAUCGCCAAGUCUGGAUAAGGAGUUCACAACAGAACUAGAUUGGUCCUAACCGCAACUUUUAAAUAUGGACUUUAUUACUUAUUAAUAAGAUUCUUAUAACAGAAACAUUAAAUUAAAAUAAAAGUGUACUAUCUUGAAAUUCCGAACUCCAAGGAAACUAUCUAGUUACAAUAUAUUUGACCCCGAAGCGAAACCUCUAAAGGUAUCCCCUUCCUAUGUGCAUGAAACUUUACUGAUCUUGAUCUGACACGAUCUAGCUUGGUCCCUCACCGAGUUCCUUAUCCCGCGAGCCCUACAAAACACAAGCCAAAACUUUGAUAAGUUCAAUGAACAUAGUGACCUUCUUUAUCAAUAUAAUAUAAAAACAUAAACAAAUCCCAUCUUGGGAGGUUUUAAUUGAAAGGGGACAAACACACUACUCCUUUUUUGGCUUGGACACUCAUACUUUAUCCAGAGUGGCGAGCUCCAAGUCAACUUUCGUAUUUCCUUCUUGGUGAAUCGAUCACUCAACAAACAUUACUUGGUCAAGUUUAUGACCAGUCAACAUGUUGUGGCGAUUCCAAAUCAUCUCGUUAUACUUGUGAAUUCUCACAUUCCUACACAUAACACCUUCUUAAAUGAAAAUCCCAUUACUUGGUUUCCUUUUUGUUAAUUCUCUUUAUCUCAUAAAACACAGGCAUAUUUGUUGACAAUCCCUUAAUGAGACUGCUAAUAAAAAUCCACGUCAUUCUGGUGGACUUAACUCUAUUUCAUCCUACUUAUCUCUACCUUUUACUCAGGUUGAAAUGUUGUUGAAUUACUUCCUUAUAAUCCGCCUUAUCUGCGCUACCUUGCUUUCUACGGUGUAUCACAACCGUCUACUUAGGACAGCUUGAGCUACAGUUUCCAGUGUACUAUUAUCCAUACCACCAUUUGAGUUUGUCAUCUUUCUUACAUGAUAGUUCUCUAUGAAACUAACUCUGUGAUGAAUGUACUUGCCAUAUGCUUUCCUCAAAGAGGAAUAGUUUCAACAAAUAUAUUUGUCACUUGGAUUAAUCUUAUUAGUAUAUUUUCCUGACAAUGGGUUCCAAUUGACCCCUCUUUAUCAUAUAGACUACCUGAGGUACCUAUGAUCGAACUUCUAACAUAUAUAGUUCCACUCAGAACUUUUAGACGGUUCUUAAUGGCAGAUCAUUACCCGCGAUCUACGGAUAAAUCCUCUUCCAUUGCCCUUAUAUAAGGCCCUACUGGUACACCAUUUCCCACGUCUAUUCUUGUUGGCUUCUAUGAUUAUUAUUUUGGUGGUUUGUUCCAUUUUCUACUACUUUUACCUUGUUUGUCGAAUUCCUCAAAACCUGCUUGCUAGCUAUUAUUCACCAACACUUGCAUUUACUUUUGACCAUUUUUCCUUAUACAUAAUUCUCUAUAAUUACCGUCUUAGUAUUCCACCCCACGUUUAAUAUCCCAGUGAACUACAUAUCCUGCCAUAACCGAGCCAUGGUCUUACACAUUUUUACCCUAUGUUUAACGUCCUGGCAAACUACCCUGUGUUUAAUGUCCCGACAAACUACAUUUGUUGUCAUAGUCGAGCUAUGGUCUUACACUUGUAAUCCUAUAUUUAAUGUUCUAACGGACGUUCUCAUGUUUACUAUCCCAUCGGACUACCCCGUGUUUAAUGUUCAAUAGAUUGUACUGGUUGCCAUAGCCGAGCUAUGGUCUUACAUAUUAGGCCUCUUUUAAGGUGUCACCCCAUAGGACCUUACUGUCAUCGCGAUGUCGCCCCAUAAAGCCUGUUGAUCGCCAUCGCGGUGUUGCUCUAUGGAACCUAAUAAUUGUCGUCAUGGUGUCACCCCGAAGGACUAGUUGAUAUCAAUCCAUUUCUUAUUUAACCUUGAUGCUCGGACACCAAAGUGUCCCCCCCCCGCAAGGCCCAAAGCUUCACACAUUACGGUUGUACCCAAAAACAUCGUAUAGUGGUAUCUUAACGAAAUUCUAUUUCUUUAUUCAUCCAUCCGUUCCUUCAUUUCGCCAUUCCUAACCUUGAUGCUUGAUCAUUGUAGUGUCUCUUUCGCAAGGCCCGGAGCUUCUUACAUCACGGUUUGCACUCAACAACUCUAUAUGGCAGUAUCUAAUAGAAAUUUCCAUUCUCAAAUCCUAGCUUCAUCUAUGCCAUCAAUUCUUUCCCUUCGUGCUCCACAAUUUAUAAGCACGCAAGCACAAGCAUAUGAGCACGAAUACAUAAUAACAUGGAGUACGCCAAACUUAGCUAUGUGUUAUCGCAACCAUUCUAUGCGUACCGACACAUUUGUGGAUACUCAAUUACCUACUCAACUAUUUGUUUACAUAGAACUCUCAAACAACAAAUAUCAUACAUCAUCAUUAAACUCAUUCUGAACUCAACAUAGAGUCAUGACAGUCAUACAACAACCCAUAAAUAGAGUAUAGUAGCUAAGAUGACAACCAAUGUCAUAAGUUAAACUUAACAAUUCCAACUUUAAAACUCAGUUUCCAAAAACAUCCAUAACCACUUAAAGGUUCUUGAAAAUUCUUAACUUUAUUUCUUAAAUUUACAAGCACCGAAGGACUUAGGCUUUACCAGUUCACUAAAUUUUCUACUUUUUCAACUUAAACCUCCUGGUCAUCGUCCCAUGCAAAGCUUCCAUAACUAUCUUUUCUUCAUAGCAACCAAGGAAAAAGAUGAAGAAGAAGAGAGAAUGAAAUAGAAUUGAGAGAAAUUCACCCUAGGAAUUCACUUCUUAGUUUUUUUUAUAGCUUUUCACGCAUGGUCUUCAACUGUAUAGAAACCAUCCACUGAUAAUCAUUUUGUCUCCCACUAAGGAACCAACCGAUUUUAAUCCAACCAAACCAGAAUUGGAUCUCAACCACGUCCAGAAUUAGUCACUAAAUUUUUAUGAUUUUUCUGUAGAGGCCAUCAACUUAUGGUUUCUUUCAAUUUAACCCCAAAUGGUUCCUAAUUUUCUAACUUAAGGAAAACUGAGUGUGACAUAUACGGCAUUUAACUAGGUUGAGUUAGAAUUAGUAUUUUGAUUUGGUUAUUUUCUAAAGUACAUUAAAUUGUGAAUGUUAAAACUAUAACUAGACAUGAUUUGUGGUAUGAUAACCAGUUUUAUGUUCAUAUACAUUUGUUAUAAGUGUUAAUUAGUUAAAUGAAAGAUUUGGAUAAAUUGUUAGUAAAUUCAAUUGAAAUUGUUGAAAUGGAUGAUAGUAUGCUUGUAUAAUUGAUUCAUUUGACAUAAUGGAACUUAUUAGGUAUUCAGAGUUGGCUAAUACUAUAUAUGUUGGUACAUUUGAAAGGUUUUAGGUGUUUGGAAUCAGGUACCAAAAACUUACCCUUUUGAAAACAAAAUGUCACGUUGCGACAUUAAAUAGUGGUUGUUUUGACAAGAUCUAAAUGGCAUGGCACGAUGCGAUUCCGAACUUUAGUUGUUGCGACGAGGCUAGAUAGUAUGUUGUGUCGCGAUGAGAAAUCCCCUGAUAUUGCAAUGUCAAUCCAAAGUUUUAAAUUUGUUUCAAUUUGGUCUUUUUUAUCUCGGGUUAACUUUAGAGCUUCUGUAAGCUCGUGUAAUGCUCGUUAAUAGUUGUUUAAUGUAUAGUACACAUGUUUUGAUUGCAAUUAAUUAUCAAAUGGUAAAAUUUAUAUUAAAUUUGAUCGUAGUUGCUCCAACAACGAAUGUGACACCUUGUAACUCAGACUUAGCGAUCGAGUCAAGUAUUGGAGUGUUACAAUCUUUACCCUUUAGGAUUUACAAUAACUACCUUGGUAACUUUUGUUUUACUGAAGUAUUUUAUUGGGCCACCAAGGCUUCAACUAGGUGGGCUUCUCUAUGGGUUCCACGAAUUGAGCUAGUUCAAGUGGGUCAAAUGAGCCCUAUUUAAUCAGUUGACCUUCAUGAGACGCUUUAUGUGCAUUUGUCACGGGCUUUGAUUUGCGGCCCAUAAUACAAACUUGCACUUAUUGAUCCCAUUUUGGUUUCAAGAAAAGAACAUAUACUUGGAAAAAAGAGAUUCUCAACAAGAGUUAAAUUUCAUGAAAAAGGUGGACUUCAUGAGGUCUCAAUUGAGUGUAAGAAUAAAAAUGUAAAUUCAUUAGGUGUGUUGGUGGUUGUUGUUGAGUCUAAAACGGAGAUUAGAAUUGAUGGGAAUUCGCCUUUCACGUCAACUAUCUCCAAUGGAAAUUCGGAGGGAAUGAAUCCAUAAAUGUCAACUAAAGAAGAUUACUUGUUUAAUGUGAUGUUCAUGAUUGGGUUUUAGCCCUGGUUUAAGGCAUGUCUUAUUUAUAUUCAAGGAAUGUUUCAUCAUCAACAUCCUCAUCGCUCACAUCAUUAUCAUCAUCGCUGUUAUCUCGAACAGGGAGAGGAGUGGUUCAUUAGAAGAGUUUAACCAUGGCGAUUAAUGCAUUCUCCCUAUUCCAUUUACAGCAUGUUUUGCCAAUACACCCCUAAUCGGUGGGCCCCACUUAAGCCCCCUUUAUUCCGUUGUUUGGUUCAUGGUAAUGCUAUUACGGGUGUAAUACGUUACUUACCUAAUCGGUGAAAUCCACCGAUUUGUAAUACAUCCCUUUUGCUCAGUUUAGGUCCUGAUUCAAUUUUCUUCCCUGUUUUAGCCUCCCGAUUGACGCUUCUGUCUUACCCAAAGUCUUCUGUUUCUUCCUUCUACCUUUCUUCUCCACUCUCCUCGCCGUUUCUCCUUCUCUUUUUUACCUCUCUUUGGCGUCACAACUAGACUUCGAACACCGAUCAGAAAGCAGCCUCCAUCUCACUGUUUCUGUUCCUCUCCAUCGGUGAAACUGUGUUCUGUCCAUUGGAACCGGUAAGGAAGAUACUGGAACAAUUCCUUAUCUUUUUUUUUUGUGCUUUGCACCUGACAAUACUGGGUUCCAGCACCCAUGAGUGCGCCUUUGCACUUUUGACAAUACUGGAACAAUUACGUUUUACGGUUAUGUAUUCUAUGAACAAUUUAUGGUCUAGAUUUCUACCUUAUUAAUUACUAUUUCCAUGAGUAGGGCAAAGAAAGGGGGGAAUGAUGGGGUGUAGGGUUCUAUGUUACUUGGACUGGACAUAAGUGUUGCAUACAGGAAUGUGUACAGAACAACAAUCUUUUUAAGCUUUCCUUGUAUUUGAAGGAUCAUACCUCUAUACCGAUGUCUGAUAUGGAUGUCGACAUAGGUACUUUGAAAAAAAUGAAGAGCCAGAGCAACACAAUUGGAGUUUGGACAAUAUGCUCCUGUUGAUUACUCUGGUUCAGGCUUUGACAUCUAGUGGAUUAGUUGUAUAGCAUCUUAGAUUUGAAUGUAAUUUCCUUAUGCCAAGGAGCUGUUGAAAUUUGUGAAGGAGCAGUAUUUGUCUCUUACAAUUGUUUUGAUAUUAAAUAUCGGUUCAAUUUCUCUGUUUUGGUUGAUCUAAUUGAAAUGAAAUUUAUCUGCAUAUGACUUGCUUGCAAUUUUCCUGCUACAACUACUUGCCAUGUCAUUAGUAGACAUUAACAUUUUGUUAUCUGAAGUCUUUACCAAUUUGAAAGAUAACUGAGUUAUUGAAUAAAGUGAUGUGGAUGUCUAUUAAGGUCUUGUUGAUUAUGAUAAAUGCUAUGCGUGUUACUUUUAUAUACAAAGCAGGUCUUUUUAGUUUCAUCUAAAAAGAUGGCUCAUAGUAUUGUCAAUUAUAAACCAAUUUUUUUCUGGUCCCGUAAAGUCUACACACAACAACAUUUGCCAUCAUGUGUUAGAGAUAGAGAGAAAGAAAAAAGGGAGGGGGCAGGCUUCAUUAAUUUAUGAAUCAAAAGGUAUGUAUGAGUUGGUCUAUUCCUAUAUGCUGUCAACAUACUGCACCUCUUUAAUCUUGGUUCUGCAUCUUCUUAGGCUCAUUAUGCCACCAUAGGAAUAGCCUACUACCCUGAACUUUUGCCAUUUGGUAGGUUUUGGUGGAUAUGAUGGUUGAGUUGGUUAUAUUCUUCAGCCAGUUGGGAUAGGUUUCCUCAGUUACAAGCUUAUCAAUGGUUCUUGUGUUAUCUGGAACUUGACUUGGUUAUUGCCAAUAUGUUUCUGGAAUCUUGAAAUCAGCUUCCUUUUCCGUGUUUGAAUUAAGAGUGUAUUCACUGCAUCCUAAAUUGUUUUGCGGUUUGCAUGCUAUCACGGCAUAUUAGCAUCAUCUUCUGUAGGAUACAUGAUAGACUGAACAUUUUAUUAUAGUUUGUAUACAAGUAGAAUGCCAGUUGGUUCUUCUAAAUCAUAAUCAGUUACUUUUCUUAUUUUUGUAUGUUCUCCUAUAGUUCCCGGUGGGUCGUGCCCAUCGACUGCUGAAAACAAGGGUUAGUGCAAACGGAAGGGUCGGAGCAAUAGCUGCUGUAUACACAGCUACAAUUCUCGAAUACUUGACUGCAGAAGUGCUAGAACUGGCAGGUAACGGGAGCAAGGAUUUAAAUUAUAAAGAUGGAUUCAAACAACUGAUAUUUUGAAUUACAAACUGCUCCCUGAUAGAAAAAAGAGCAUAUUUAUAUAUAUUCAGAGUAUUGAUUUGAGUUAAAUGUUUUGAUAAGUUGUAUUCAUCUUCUUCAAUUUCUUAAAAAUUAUAUGAGUUUCCAUUUCUAUAAAAUUCCUUCUAAAUAACCAUGAGGUGAUGAAAAGGUGCUUCAGAUAGUAGCAAAGGAGUAGGCCAAUAGCAGAUAAAAUAAGGGGUCAUUUUCAAGACAUUUUUGAGCUAAUGGCAGUGGUAAAUCCAUGAAGCUGUGGGUCAAAUGAAGAAAUUGGAACGCGGUUUUACCACGACUCUUUGACAAAGACCUAAUCUUCAUAGAUUGUUUGUUGCUUUAGAACUUCUAUUUUGUCAUCUUUUAUUUGAGAUUUCAUUGCAUGGUCUAUAUUACAUUUUGACCAUCGAAUUGUAAAUAAUUACUAUAUAAUUAUUAAUAUCAUUAAUUUAUGACAUUUUAAUUAUUAAAUUGUUAACGGCAUAUCUUCAUUUUAGAAAUAAAUUUCAAAUCAAUAUUCUCAACCUAAUCUUCUUUUUCUUGUUUCAAGUGAAAUAAAUUUUAAUUAAAAUAUAUUUAAUAAUAAUUAUGUUAAAAUAUGAUUAAAUUAUUUGUUACUGAUAUUAAUAAUCUUAUUAAAAUUUAAUAACAAUAACAAUAAUCAUUUAUCUAAACAAAUUUCUGCUAAGGGUAUUCUAGUCAUUUUAGUUUUUUCCUUUAUGCUAUUACACCUCUAUUCCAUUCAACCAAACACAAUAUUACUGUUACGCCUCUAUUCCAUUACAUUCAACCAAACAGUUGAUUUGCUAUUACACCUCUAUUCCAUUACACCUCUAAUCCAAUACACCUCUAAUCCAAUACAGCGAACCAAACGUGCCCUUAAUUUUGUGAUGCUUUUGUAAAAAAUAACAAUAUUUUUUAGGAAAAAUAUAAUAUAAUAUAUUGUUUUUUUUUCAUAAUAUGUAAAUGUAGAAUAUUAAAUUAUAUUUAUAUUAAUUAUGUGUUUAAGGAUCAAAUUGAUAGAAUAUGUAAAUAUGGAAUGUUAAAUUUAUUGAAUUACUUAAAAUCAUGAUCAAAUUGAUGGAAUGUAAGUAUUGAGGACUAAAUGUGUUAUUAGGGGUGUUCAUUCGGUUAACCGACCCGAAAUUACUAUAACCGAAUUAACCGACCUUCCAAAAAUUUUAACCGCUAACCGAACCGAUUUUUUUUAAAAGAAAUUAACCGAACCGAAAUUUUUUCGGUUAAUAAGGUCGGUUAACCGAAUUAACCAAAAAUUAUGUAUUUUUUAUUUUUGGUUAAAAUUACCCGAAUUACCCGAAUUACCCGAAUUAACCGAAUUAACCGAAUUACCGAAAAAUACCCGAAUUACCCGAAUUUUUUUAUUUUUUAUUUUUAAAAUUAAAAAAUUUAUAAAUUAUUAAAGUAAAUUGGGUUUUAGACUUUAGUAAAUUGGAUUGUCUUUUAGUUUUAGUUUUAUUGGAUUGGGUAAUUGGGUAAACUUUAGUUUUAGUUUUAUUGGGUUGGGUAAUUGGGUUGGGUAAUUGAGUUUGGGCUGGGUUGGAUAAUUUUAUUUAUUAAUUUUUUCGGUUAACCGACCGGUUUCGAACCAAAUUAACCGUUAACCGAAAAAUCAUAAAAAAAUUAACCAACCCCCGACCGAAAAAAUUCGGUUAACCGAAUUUUUUCAGUUUUACCCGAAUUAUGCACACCCCUAAGUGUUAUUAUACCAAUUAGAAAAAGACCGCGUCGUCACUCCCGUUAACCAUUUGACGUAGAGUGACCAUAAUAGAAAUGGCCUAAAAUGUUAGCAGCGAAAUUGAAAUUUUUUAUAAUUUAAUAACUAAAACAGAAAAACGCUAAUAAUUAAAUGACUAAUUCUAUAGUUUACCCUUAUAAUAUUGCAUUAAUUUCAAACCAUGCUAAGAAAACCGGACCAGGUGUUAACCUUCCACUUUCCACUUGUUCAACCCAUAAAGGCUUUAGAAAGACAUUUUAACUUAAUUGCCCAACCCAAUUCCUUUUCUCUCAAUGUGUUUGGCCCAUUCAUCCAUCCCAUCAUUAACAAUUGGUUUAAAAUUUUCACAAUAAAUAUAAAAUUUAGUCUUAAUAUUUUAAUUUCGAGACUUUGAUCUUUGUACUUUAUUUAAUUUAAAAAUGUUCUCCCUAUCUAAUUUGCAGUUAGCAUUGUUGACAUGACCAUUGUAUAAAAGGUAAAAUAAUUUUUUACGCUGACAACUUUUACAAUUUUAUAUUAGAUUAGUCUUUAGUGUAAGAAAAUUAGAAAAAUAGGAAAAAAAUAAAUUUGUUCACAUUUUCAUUAAAAGAUGGUAACUUAAAAAAAGUGAUAUACUUUUUGAACCGAAACAUUCUAGAAUUUGUAGUUACUAUUUUAAUUUUUCUUAACCAUGCAUUGUUAGAAGAAGUGAAACCCUUUUUAACAUAUUUGUCUUUUUUCCCCUCUGUUAAUGUAUCUUUUUAGUAUGAUAACCUUCUAAUGUGAUUGCAAAACAACGGAAUAACAAAUUUAAUUAAAGUUAUAACUCCUAUCACACGAGUAUGUUUGUGGAACCAAUUUAAUAUAUAGAUAAAUAUUUCAAAAUGAUAUAUAAUAAAUAAUGAAAUGUAUUGUUUGAAAUUUAUUAAUUAUAGUAACACAAGAAAUAUAUAUCAUAUUAAAAUAAAAAUUUAAUUACAUUGCGAUUAAAAAGAAAUUUAAAACAUAAAUACAUCACAUUAACAAUAUAAAAAUAAAAAUUUAAUUACAUUGCGGGUAAAAGGAAAUUUAAACAUAUAAAUGCAUCAUAUUAACAAUAUUAAAUGCACUACAAUGGUUUAUCAUGGAGUUGUUGUCAAUAGUAAGUUAGUGUCGAGUUGACUUCUGAUCUCAGUUCAAUUAACACAUUAUUAAUAUAUAUAAUUGAAGGAAGUAAUAACUUGUGCAUAUAACAAUAAAAAUGUAUAAAAAUUAUCAAUAUGAAAUUUUGUUCAAAUGGUAAUAGGUUUUACUAAUUCAAUUGGCAUGGGUUCCAAUCCCACCAUAUGCAUAUUUUUAUUGAUUUUUGUUAAAAUAAAAAAGACUAAUGUACCCUCAAAAUAUAACUUGUUUAAUUAUGGAAAGACAUUUCCAUAAUUUCCCUAACCAAGCUGGUGUCUGGUUGACUCGUGAAACCAACUCAGUUAGGGAUGUAAAUAAUAGAAUAAAUAUAUAAUUAAUAGAGGUAAUAAAGUGUGUAUAAUAAAAUUAAAAUGUAUAAAACAUAAAAAUAAAAUUUUGGUUGAGUAGUAAAUUUAAGGUUUUGCUAACUCAAUUAGCAUGGGUUCUAAUCCCAUCAUCAUAUACAUAUUUCUAUUGGUUUUUUAAAAUAAAAAGAUUAGAAUAUUAUCAAAUAGUUUAAUUUAAUUUAAUUUAAAUGUGAAGGGACUCUAAAGUAAUUUCCAUAAUUGAGUUGGGAUCUGGUUCAUUGGUGACACCAAUUCAUUAAAAUACUUUAUAAAUGGUAUAAAUAUAAAUAAUAUAUUAAAGGUGCAAAAUAUUUCCACCACUAAUUUGAAAUAAUACUACUACCUUAAUGAUAAUUUUGGAUCUAAUCAUUAACUUUUCAAAAAGAAUCAAAUCAAUCUCUUUUAACAAAAACCAAUGUUUUUCUAAAUUGGACCGGUGGUCUAACCGGUCAGGCUACUAGUUCACUGAUUCGACUACUUAAACUGAUGCAAUCUGUUCAAUCGACCUGACUAAAAAAUAAUUAAAAAGUAAAAAAAAUGGGUAAAGAAUCCAGUUCAACUGGUUCGUACUGAUUCCUAGGUCAACUGGUUCAAAGUCCUCUCCGAACCGGUACCUCGGCCAGUUCUCUUUCCAGCCGGCUUCUCCAGUCCAAUUCAAACAAUAUUGACAGAAAUAUUGGCAAGAAUAUUAAUCUUGUAACGAUGUUAGCAUGACAACCCACGUGACUAUCAACGUGUACUUCAUGUGGAUAUAAUACUAUUUGUCUUAUUUGUCCUGUCAAUAGAUAAUUUAAAAUUAUAAACAUAUUCAAAAAUAAAAAUAAAAUAAAAAUUUCAUAAAAAUUUUAAAAAAUAGCAUUGAGUACACAUGGAUUGUUGUGCGAACUACCAUAUUUAAAAUUUUAACUUUUUGUCAGUAUUUUUGUCAACAAAAAAGCAAUUAGACUUUUUUUUAAAGGUAAAUGGUCAAAUUUGAUUCCUUUUAAAAAGUUAAUGGCCAAAUUUAGCUAAAAAAAAUGACCUAUUUGACAAAAAAAUAUAAACGUUAAGGGCUAAAUUUAUCAUUAUACCUAAUGUUUUUUUAUUAAUUUAAGAAAAAUAUUACCUGCUUCAGAAGUUGUAUACCCAACACUUUAGCUUUUGGUUCCUUAUCUAUUUGAACACAAACUUUUACUUACAUUAAAAUAUACAAGUCACACAUACAUAGUCUACCAUCCAUUUAGGAUUAAGGUGUGUCACACUAUGCACGUCACAAGUGAAUAAAUUCACAAACGGAUUUAAGAUCCAUUUUUCUUGGGCCCUGUCUGAUCUACUAUUAGUCAAAUUAAUCACAUCCAUGUCUCUAUGUUUUGAGAGUCAUUUGCUCCAAUGCUCAAGAAAAAAACAUCUCCCCAAUUGUAUUUGAUAGAUGAUAUAUUAGUCUUUUAAUCAAUUUGUUCAUUUUUUAUUAGACUAAGGACUUGUUUAGAUUAAUCUACUAAUGCAAGUUAUCUUUUCAUAUUCAGAUCUGACCAUGUACUAUUGCUUAAUAUUAGUUAAAUUUUAGAUGGUUAGUGAGUCAAUAUUUGUUUCCAUUUUGCUUUGUGUAUAAAAAUAUUGAGAACAAUAUACAAAAGACAUUAAUGUAACUAACGAAUAUUAUUAUUAAACCAUUUUGUUUAAAAAAUACAAGUAUAUAAAACGAAUAUACUACACUUAGAGCACUAGAUACAACAAGGCAUACUCCCUUUAGGAAGCCUAGUGUGUUGCUCACCCCUAUACUGAUGGUCUCAUUUGUGCCUUUCAUGUAUUGGCUAAAAUUAUAUAUGUUAUCUUGUCUUAAAACAAGCUCAUAUAUUUUAUCUAACCCAAUAACUAGUAUUCUGUGCCCAAAAUAUCAUUUAAAUUAAUUCAAAUAGAAUUGAUUAAUUUUUCCAAAUAAAUUAUUUUCUCAACCAAAUUUUAAUUUCGUUAAAGUCAUAACCACUUUAUCGUACUAGAAUUUAUGAGUAGAUAAAUUUAAUUGUUAUUAGUAGAUAAAUUUAAUUGUUCUAUAAAACUACGAUGACUAAUUACUUUUAAUUUUCACUUUGAAUUCAAUUAUUUAAUUACAAUCAAUUAAAUAAUUUAAAUAAUAAUUCAAAGAAAUUAAAUUAAAUUAAAUUUUAAUUCAUCUUUGGUCUCUUUCUCAAAAAUACAUUUAUCAUUAAAAUAUUUUAAAUUUUUUUUUGGAAGAACCACAUGUGUCCUUAUCCAUUUUUAUAGUCUAAAACUAAUAUGUUCAGGUGGUGAGUAAUAUUAAGAAAAAGUCCUCCCAACAAUAAUGACUUUAGGAUUUAAACUUAGUCUAAAUUCCUUAAGAAAAAGUUCAUUUAUACUUUUUCCAACCACUUGUAGAGUAAACUUUUCUACUACAGGAUUAAUCACUAUUUGAGGCCUAAACUUGGCAACAGCUCCCACAUUGGGUCUAAACUUUCUUUUUGUCCAAAUUAGACCUUGAAUUUGGUAAUUAUUCUCGUAUUGGGGCCUGAAUUAAGCAAUUUUUCCCACACUAAGGCUUGAAAUUUUUUGUCCAAGUUAGUCCUUAAACUUGACAAUUGUUCCCACAUUGAGGCCUGAACUUGACAAUUGCUCCUAAAUUGGGGCCUAAACUUGGAAAUAUUAAGGGCUAACUUGGACCAAAAAAAGUUCAGGCUCUGAUAAAGGAACAAUUGCCAAGUCUAGGGACUAAGAUGGAUAAAAAAAAGUCCAUGCCUCAAUGUAAUACUUGUUGGAUUUAGUGCUCAUGCAGUAUUUUCGUCUAAGUACACUUGUAAUUUUUUGAACAGAUUGGUUAAUAAAACUAUUCAUGAAUUACAUUAAUACUUUGUAUAUUGUCUUCAAAUGGUUUUUGCACACAAAGCAGAAUGGAAGCAAAUAUUGCUCAUUUGUUGUCUAAUUUUUAACUAAUACUAAGCGAUAUUAUGUGGUAAGAUCGUCAUACGAAAUGACAACUUUGUAUUAGAAGAUGAACCUAAACAUGUCAUUAGUUUAAUCAAAAAUGAGCAAAUCGAUUGAAAGACUAACAUGUCGUCUAUCAAGUCUAAUUUGGGAGAUGCCUUUCUUUGGGCAUCGGAGCAGAUGACUCCCAAAAGAUAGAGAUAUAGAUGUGACUGGCUAGACUAACAGUACAUCAAAAUGGACCCAAGUAGAAUAGAUCUUGAAUCUAUUUAUGGAUUUAUUUGCUAGUAGCAUUCAUAGUGUGGCAUGCCUAAAUCCUGAAUGGAUGGCGAACUAUGUAUGUAUGACUCGUACACUUUGAUGUGAGUAAAAUCCUGAGUUCGAAUAGAUAAGGAACCAGAAGCUAGUGCGUUAGGUGUACAACUUCUACAGUACGUAGCGUCAUUCACAACAGUGGAAUUCAUGGUCUAAGGCAUGGGUAAAUGAUAUCCUCUUAUUAGCAUUACAUGGUUGAUGAAAAGUAAACAUGACCAUGAGUCUUCCGUUUUUCUGAUAAAUGACUUAAUUACUAUUCGGUAGUAAUUGACUUUUCAUGAAGGAAGGUAUAAUGAUUACCAUGAGAUAAAAUAAGAUCAUAAUGGAGAAUGUAUAUUAUCCCGAAGAGAUCAAGGAUAUCGUAUGAGGGAAACAUACUUAUGACAAAGUCAUUGGACAAGCACUGAAUAAUUGCUUUCAUAAUGGUGUGUUGUUAGGGAUAGCUUAGUCACAAUACUAUAUUAGAAUGGCUUCAUGAAUAAAUGAGUUUAUAAUUAAUAAGCGAAAAUUUGAAACUUGAUUACGAAUCAUUUAAACCUUAAUUACACAUGUCCAAUCGGUCCCUCCGAUAGCUCGUUGAAACCAGAAAUAUGAAUACGAAAUGAGAAAUGAGAAAUAUUCAGGAAUUAUUAUAAAUUUUUUUUGAAAUGAAAAAAUAAAAUCAUUUGGAAAUCAAUGUAGGUUUCCAAAAUGGUAAUGGAGAUGAUUCAUUUGCAAUUCUAUAUGGAUUAAUGAUCAAAAGAAUAAGUUUAUAUUUUUGAGUUAUUUUGAAUCCCGAAAAUGAAAAUAAACCAUUCGGUCACAAUGAAAAUGUUGACUUGGGAAAUAUUAAACAUAUUGUUUUGAAAUUUUAUCGGGGAUAAAAUCAUCAAAAUUUUAGUAAGGGUAAAAUAGGAUGAGAAAUUAUUUUAAUAUAAAAUAUUAAAGUUUAUUUUAAGAAUUAGAAAAAAAUAAAUCGGGUUGGAUUACAUUACAGAAAAUUGAGUCAAAAGCUCAGGAAGUACUCAUAAUUAGACCCGAUGUGAGAGAGGCCCCAAACCCCUCAUAUAAUACUGUCCACCCCACUCCUACUUUAAGUAGGAAGUUGUUUUUCUAUUUGAAAUAGACCACUACAACUCAAUAAGGGUUCUACCUUCUCUUCUUAUAAAUAGAUGGCACCGGUAGAGCAUUAUAUACAACUUUAAGAGCUUAUUACUCUGCCAAAAAAUAAAGAGAAUUUAUUCUCAACUAUCAAAUAUAUUUUUCCAGAAUAACAACUCUACUGAUUUCUAUUAAGAAGAGAGAAUUACGUUUUCACCUCAAAUAAAAGAGAGAACUUUUUCUAGUUCUGUGUUUCAAUUCAAUUGGUUUGAGCCCACACUCGAAGUAAUUUGAGGUAUGAAAAUAGAAAAAAAGAUCGUUUGGUUGAAAGUUAGGACCAACGAACGUCUUCUAAGCCAAAAACACAAGUAUGAAUUCGAUUAUGGUUUAUUUCUAUAAAUAUCACAAACCAGGUUGAGUUUCAAAAUUUAAUUUCUUGCAGUGCAAGAAAAUCAUUUUCAAACCGGGAUUUUUCCAAGAAUUGGUAUUAAGAGUUAGGUGACAUUCUUGUAAUUAUUCACAUGUUUAGGGAAAUAUAUGAGAAUGUAUGUGAUAUUAUAUAAUUGUUGUAUAAUUGUUUUUUUUUUGCUCAGGUUGUGGUUCUUAGGAAAUAGACCGUGGACUAUAAUCUCCACGUAGGAUUAUUUUUUUAUAUAGAAUUCUUAUGAGCCAGAAACAAACAUAGGACUUAAAUGUAAUUUUUCCUAAAAGAAUUCCAUAACAAGCAGAAGAUGGAGCAAUGACAAUUGAAGACACAAUGAAUGCCUUGUGGUGAAAAUUUAUGUAAUCUUUGAAUUUUCAUUUAUUUUCUAAAAAUAGAACAAUGAAAACCUUGGCUAACAAUUUUAUUUUAAUUACUCAUCUCCUUAUAUAUCUGUUUAGUGAUUGUUAAAGAUAUUAUUGUGAUAUAUAUGUACGAGAUGAUCCACAAUUGAUCGAUUAAAGAUAAGAAGUGUAGUAAUGAUAAAAGACAUGUGUUAUAUUGUUUCAUUCACUUCUUUAGGUUAUUUGAUUGUUGUGAGAAGUGUGGUGAUGAGAAUGUGCAUGUCUAGGAUUGGCUCUAUCAAAAAAAGGUUUGGUUUUUAAGUGGUCAAAUAUGACUUACCUCCCUUUCCCAGUACCCUACCUAGUGGAUGGUUCACAUUCACUGCUUCAAUUUUUUCCCUUAAAAGAAAAAUUGUAGAGAAUCAAAAUUAUUGAUUUUAUGAAUAAAUGAAUGUGAAUAUUAUAAAAUUGCCAGAGCAUGUCAUGUACAUAUGAGAUAAGUAUGUCAUAUACUUUAGGAAAGAAUGUCACAUGUACUUGUCAUGCAUAUAUUAAUCAUUCAUGAUUGAAACCAAAAAUUAAAAAUCUUGCAUGUUUUUAAAAUAUUAAGUGGGAGAAGGUCCCUAAACAAGACUUACGGCCUCCAUCAAUGGCCUUUUGUGCAACACUCCAAACCUGACCCUUAAGAAGGAUCUAGGAAUGUCAUGUUACUAACAUAAAAUCAAUAUAUUUAAAACGAUAUUUGACGUAAACCAACUUAAACUACAGUUUAAUUUAAUAUAGAAUGUAAACAGUUUGUCAUUCAAGGUUAGAUAAAAUGGUACACUUUAAGAACCAUGAAGACUUUACUGAAAUUUCAUGGAAAUCAUAGUUUCCUUAUAGUUUCAUGAACACAAGUUCAAAUACGAAAUUCAUUCUUCAAAAUGUAAGCGUCUUGACACCACCCUCAUGCCAUGCAUAGUACUCAAUACUAGAAGUCUCACGACAAAGAUUGUCCUUUGGUGUAUCCUUCAGAACUUUCUUUACUUCCUUAGCAGGCUUAAGAAGGAAAAGUAACUAAGUAAGUUCAAAGAACUUAGUGAGUUUUAGAAGUAGACAUUACAUCGGUUAUACAUCAUUCAAAUAAAACCUUUCCAACUCAACACAGAUACAUAGUUUGCCAGUUGGUGGGUACUAAUCACAGACACACAAUAUGCCAAAUAUUAUUUCUUUUGGUGUGUACAUCACGCCCAUGUGAUCAUACAAUUAACCAUUUUCAUGUUAGCCACGUACCCCUUUAUAUAGUCAAGCCAUAUAGUUCAUUCCAUUCAUAUUCCUUUUUCAUGAUUUACCAAUCUAGUUUGCAACAUAAUUUCUACCCUACCAGAGGCUACACGACCAUUUCCAUGUAUCGUGAUUUACCAGUUCAAUGCUUGUUCCACUAAAGGCAAUGCCAUGAAUUCAUUUCCAUUUUCCAAUCCAUAUUACCCUUGUCAAAAGAAAAUGGCAGUGGCUUAAACACAAAAAAAAGGUUCUCACACUUUUAACAUAGACAGACCAAACCAGACUAACAAUUACAAACAUCCUUCGCUCAUAUACAGAUAUUUCAUCUUUACAUAAUAUGAAUACUUACCUUAAAAAAAAAUAAACAAGGCAUUACACACACAUGGAAGUAAAAAGGAACUCACCAGAAAACACAACAAGUCUAAACAACAAGACCUUUGCCCUUACCAUGAGAACCUUCAGAAGUGUCUUGAGUUAUAAUAUAAAUAGUUAAACUUAUCAGAUUGUUAUACCAGAAAACUAAACAAGCUUGUAGGAAACAUCAUUUAAAAACCCAGGUUAGGAAGUUUUCAUCCUUACACACUAAACUGGCAUUAAAGGAUGUAGCUCUAAGGUCACAUAAAUAACCAGGAAAAUAACCUAAGGUUCAUUGAUAUUUACCAUGUGCUAAAACAACGAAGGAGUUUGCUGAGUACAACGAACUCAAAUCUUCAAGGAGGUUUCUAGUCUAAGGUUUUUAGAGAGAAAGUUCAGAGAAAAUUUUGAAAGGAAGAAUGGAUACAAAGAAAAAUGUAAAAGUUUCCCAGUAAGCCAUUACUAACUUUAAACAACUAAACACAGAAGAUAGGUUUAGUGGAUAAGUCAAGUUAUCCUACUAACCUCCUCGAUUCCCGUGAUUAAGAACUUUCUUUCUCAUCAUAAAUGUUAGUCUUAUCAACUACGAUAACUUAGUUCUAUUGUAACUUGUUCUCACCAGACCAACUAAAAUAUCCAACCAAAGUAAUAAAAUAAUAAAUAGUCCUUUCAAACUAAUGACUCAACCCAAAUGUCUAGCAAUUGGAGUGGUAUGUUCUCUAUGUAGGAGCUCGCCUAACCACCCAACUCGCCAGACAUAGACUUUACCCAUAAACACAAUCACAAACUUACAUACCUAGCUACAAUUAAUACCUUACUCAUAAUUUUCUCUACGUACCAUACUUCGAUAAAAAGAAACCAAACACUAAGACUUUUUCGGGUGGGAUGUUACAUCUUGUGAUGGCAUGGCAAGUGCACUAUCCUACGGUAGGAUUGCUAUGUCGAUUUAACUAAGGAGAUUUCCUAAAAGAAAGAAGAAUUCUCUUGUGAUCAAAUAAUAAUUGGACUGGCCCUUAUGGUAGGCAUUAUCAUGCGAUAGGUUAAGGAAUUCUAUCUUCAAAAGAGGACAACUAGUCAAAGCAUGCUACUCGGUGAGAUUGUUUCAUGAUGGCUCAUUUAUGGUGCAUGAAGUGAUAGAUGUUAAGUUGAUGGUUAUACACUCAAGGUAUUCUAGUUAAGUAACUCCCCACGGAACUCUACUUAAGUUAGAAUGAUGGUCAAAUGUUACACGAUUAUUAGUAUGUGUGAAUGCCUAAUGAAUUAGGUUCAUGUACUAAUUGGAUGGAAAUCCAUGUUCUUACUAGUUGAUCAUGAUCACUCCAUGGUGGAUUGAUUCAAUGGGUGUGAGAAUUAUCGUUGCAACGACUUACAAAGGUUUUUCUAGGUUUAAUGUAAUAUGCAUGCAUCAUUUUAAUGCAUAUCGUAAUGUUGCAAAAUUUUUCAAACAUUUACUUAUACAAAGAUAUUAAUAGAUGAAUAUUUUAUUUUUAGUUCGAAAAUGACACCUACUUCCUUAUUGAACAUACUCAUCGAAAACAAAUUGAACGAAAAUAACUAUAAGGAAUGGAAAAGGAACCUGAUAAUUGUUUAGAGUUGUAAGAAACUUAAAAUAGUUCUUGAUACUAAGUGUCCUCUGGCCACUCAAGCUGAGGUUAGAGAACGCUGAGAAAAUUUUGAUGAGAUAGCUCGUUGCAAUAUGCUGGAAAGCAUGACCAACAUUCUAUAUAAGUAGUUGGAGAGCUAUAAGGCUACUAAGGUGAUUCUAGAUAAUCUAGAAGACAUUUUCAGAGUCCAAGCUGCCUUGGAUUAAUAGUCUGCUGACCAUCUACACACGUACUAACGUCCAAAGUGUGACUACUACAAUAAAAUAGAGAGUUAUGAGGCAGUAUCCGCAAGUAUACAGGUCGAGUUGUAAUAUAGAUUUUACAACGAAGUAGGAUAGUACUCCGAGGAUUGUACCUAAGGGAGGCAAGUACUAAAUCAAUCUUAACUUGAAUAAUUAAAUAUCUAGUUAAUACUUUUAAAUCAAUUAUAGUAUGAAAGUAGAGUAAGAAGUAUUUUUAGGGUUUGUAAACUAAUAAAAUAAAAUAAUAUAAAGGAAUUAAAAUUGCAAGAGAUAGAAAUAAAUAAAGUGAAUCAAAUCUGAAGAUGGGUGAUCAGCUUAUUUGACAAUCCCAAUUAACUGACAUCUCGGGUUUCUUAUCAAUCAACUAGUCAUUACCCUAGUAGGAUCUUUCGAUCUUCCACUAAUAUAACGAGUCAGCAAUAACUACUUAUCUUCCAACCUCAUAGUCUAGACUGGCUUAGGGUAAAGGUGUUUACGAAUGGACAAUACUAAUUUUGGGUUAAUUCCCACCUUGAUAACUUCCCAGAGUUAUUAGGCCUACGGUUUGUUUCACGUUCUUCUUUUCCCAAACAAUUGAUCUGUGGAGUAACCCUACAAAAUAGUUAAGAGAUCAUGUCUCCACUUGCUAAUCCCCCAUAGAAGGAUUAGUUUCUCAUGGCUUUCAUAAACAUGGAAUGAAUGGAAGAAUUAACCAUAAGAAAUUAUUGAAAUAAAGAUUUUAAGAAAAUACUGAAUGAUAUUGAUAAAUAGUGCAAAUCCACAGAAGUUAAUCUCCUUUACAAUCAGUUCUCUUGAAAGAAAACAAAGAACAAAUAAACUAAAACUAUGAAAACCUAAGAAAGCAAGAAAACAAAACUAAACCUAAAGAAAGAAUCUAAGCUACUCGAAUAUGUCCAUAAUGUGUGCCACAGGAGCCUAUUUAUAGCCUUCAGGUAGCCGUCGUCCUUAACCCUAGGUUAGCUGACGUUCCCGAGCUUUAAGUUCAAUUGAGCAGACCAAAACGCCUCUACUUGGUGUUUUAUUCUCGUCAUAGAGUUGAUGUCGCGACACACCAGGACCUGUGCCAUGACAUAGUAGCCGAUCUACUCCUCUACAGCUGUUAUGUCACGAAACCCUCAGCCUGUGUCUCGAUAUUGAAGGCAGUUUCUCACUUUCUCUAUUUAGCUCUCUAUGUUGCGACAUUGAAUCUCUCAUGUUGGAACAUAACGUCUAAUAUUAACUCGAAAUGCCUUCUAAUGGUCUCCUUCACACUCACGAAGUGCAUUAGCUCUCCCUUAGAUCUCAUUCAGCCCUUAAGGUUAAUAAAAGACUCAAUAUGCACAUUUUAUUGGAUGUAAGUAGAACUAAAGAAACUUACUUAAAACAUAACGAAAAUGCUUGUAUUUAAGCUCCUUAAAUGUGAAAAUUAGUUUAAUCUACUCAUCAAAUGCUUAAGUCAUUGCUUGUCCUCAAGAAAUCUAAACAAAAUACAAAUAGUCGUUUAUGUGAAUGUUUAGUAUGCUGUCCAUUCAUGUAUAAGGAUACUAAGGUCAUAUAGGGCUUUUCGGCUUCUAAUGUUCUAAGGCUUAGGAAAGGUAUGAAAUUCAAAAAAAGUAAGCAUCAAAAGGUUACAAACGCGAAAAUAGUUUGGCACAUCAUAUUGAUCUGUAUUUUCCCCCUUAGUGACCCUUACCCACUCACUGCCUUAUUUCUCCUUUUCUUACCUUCCUUGUCUCUCCAUCUAUAGGAAGUCAUAGCAUGACAUAGUAACUAUGGCUAGCCUUACAAGUUUUUUGUGUAUUAAUGAACGAGUUUUUCUUUCUUUUGUGACUGUUCUAUUUUUCAAUACAUCUCACUCAUGAAUGAUUUUUUGCUAGUUUAAGACUUUUUCUACUCGUACCAAUUGUCUUUUUGGAGUUUUCUUUUUUGUUUUGCACAUUAGGCUAAUUUAUAGUUCCUAUAUCACACCAAUCUUUUCUAUUUCUCCCUAAUUUUACAAACUCCACAGUGAUGUAUCUAGUUAACCCUCAAUAUGUAUGGCCAAACGUCUAUAGUUGUGUAGUACAGGACCAGAGAAAAAUGGCAAAUACAAAUUAACAUUUUUAGGCUCGGGGUUUGUAAUGUGGUUCAUAAAAAAGUGUCAAAAGGCUCAAAAUUGGUAGUAAAGGUGAAGUAUAAAUAAGAUAGCUUUUUGGUUUUGGAUGUGUUCCAAACAAUUCCUUAGGUCAUCCCUAAAUAUCUCAUAAUGCACAAAUUUAGUCAAUUAAACAAACACAAAUUCAACCAUUUAUCAUUCAUACUAGCAUGCUCGUUUCCUUGUAUUUUCUAUAUAAUUGGUACAAAUGAUAGCUUAAUACCUAUUUAUAGUGCAACAUAUAGCACUUUAAUAGUCUAAUAAUAAAAAAUUUUAAAUCACCUAUCAUCAUGCCAAAUUUAUUCACAAACACAAUCAACCUAUGUACAUGCUCCUAACCAAUCACUUGUAUUUCUACAAACUCAAGCACACAAAAGACAAGAAAAACCAAAGAAAAUGUAAAAAUUUGAAGCAAAUUUUCUAUGUUACCCCCACACACUUUAGUUGACACAUUGUCCUUAAUGUGUAGCCCAAUAAUAGAUAAGGAAGAAAGUUACCCGAUUGAUUAUAGUCGCUCCAAUUGCUAAUGAUGGGUGCUUCCUCCUUUGAUCGUUUUAGCUUGAAUUGUUUGUGUCUCCUUCAUGUUGGGUUCCUACAUAGAAAAUUUAAAUAGAUUGUAACAUACUAAAAUUUACUUAUUAAUCCUACUCAUACAAAUUCUAAAUUAAAAUUAUCCCAAAAAUUAAUACAAAUCUUUAUAAAAUUAAAAAGAGUUCAAUCAUCUUCCUCAUUGCCCAUCUCCUCAUCCCCGUUAUCCUCCUCUUAUUAUCCUUCCUCUUCACGUCCCAACGCUUAUUCUUCUUUUUCCAUUCUCGUCGGACCGAACAUAUCUGAUGUAUAAUUGGGGACUUAAAUGUUAUUGUGCCUAGCAAACCCUUGAAAAAUUGGUCUCAAUUCUUGAAUCCACUAAAUCAUCAAAUCUAACUUUGGAUGACUAUUCUCACUAACGUCUUGUUGAGCUCGUGCCACCCUUUUUGAUGAAGUGGGUGUAGCUGUCAUUUUUUACUAUCUCUUGUUCCAGUCUUUUAUCUGUUUGGCCUGCAGCUCGAUGUAUUGUUGAAACAAAGUUCCCCGAUAAUGUUUCGGGAUGGUUUCAACGACUGCUCAGUGGAUAUCAUAGGUACGCCUGCCUUUUUACAUAAAGUCGUCACAAGAUGGGGAAAGAAUACUCCCACCUUCUGGCUACUAAUGCAUCUUCCCAUGUUCUAGUGGAUUUGUUUGCCAACACAUACCUAUUUUUUUCUGUAAAAUAGCAUAGAGAAAAACUGCUCUAAAGGCAUUAACAUUAGAAACAUUUAAAGCAGGUACAAUUUGUGUGCAGACAAAUUGAAUUCACAUAUUAGCUUCAGGAAACAUAAUAGCUUGAUGGAAAGAUACUGGGAUAUUGGUACUUGCGCGAUACUUCCAUUCACACCUUCCUUUAGUUAAAAAGUUUAUAAUAUUAUCCAUAUCUAUGUCUCUAAAAUAUUCUAAGUCAGUUUCAUCAAUAAAAUCAUUCUCAAAAAAACCACAUAAGGAAAAACCACAUUGAUACAAAGUACCAUAAGGGAGACGGUAGUGUUUGGCAGAACAGUGGAUGUAAUCAAAGAUCACAUAUGAGGACAAACCAUAAGGAUUUGUUUUGCCAAGACUCUACUAGCUAGAGAGCUCUUUGGGAAACAUAUUAAGGGGCACAAGAAUGCGAAACAUGACUUAUCUACUUUACUAGGAAAAGUGAGAGACUGUUGGAUCUGGUACACUAAGUGUAGUAUUUUAAUCUAAUUACACUUGUAAGUUUUUGAACAGAUUGAUUAAUAAAACUAUUCAUGAAUUACAUUAAUAUUUUGUAUAUUGUUCUCAAAUGGUUUUUGCACGCAAAGAAAAUUGAAAGCAAAUGUUGCUCAUUGGUUAUCUAAUGUUUAACUAAUACUAAGCAAUAUUAUGUGGUCAGAUCAUAAUACGAAAAGAGAAGAUGUAUUGUCAUCUAAUUGAAAAUGAGAAAAUCGAUUGAAAGACUAAUAUGUCAUCUAUCAAGUCCAAUUGAGAAGAUGUAUUGUCUUAGGCAUUGGAGUGGAUGACUCCCAAAAGAUAGAGAUAUAGAUAUGAUUGACUGGACUGCUAGUACAUCGAGCUGGACCUAAGUAAAUAGAUUCUGAAUCUGUUUAUAGAUUUAUUCACUUGUGGCGUUCAUAGUGUGGCAUACCUAAAUCUUGAGUGGAUGGUGGACUAUCUAUGCGUGACUCAUAUACUUUGAUGUAAGUAAAAUCUUGAGUUUGAAUAGAUAAGGAACUGAAAGCUGGUGCGUUGGGUGUACAACUUCUGCAGUACGUAGCUAUUGGAAAAACGAGCAGCAAAAAAUAAAUUUAGGGAACACUAGAGUUUUAAAAUUUUUCCAAAACAAGACCUUAGUUGUGAUAUCUAAAGUAAUAAAUAGUUAAUCAAAAUCGUACAUUUUCAAGUCAUCUAGGAUGAGUGCUUAGACCAAGUAGUCUUCUCCACUAUCCUCAAGCUCACAUCUGUUGAGUGUAGGCUCGCUUCGAAUCAGAAAAUUUUUCAUAAAUAUUAUUAGUGGGUUAAUUUUGCAAUUUCACUAAACUUUUGGGUUAAGUUGUAAAUAAAAAAUAUCUCUAGAAAUUUUCUUGAAUAAUCUCUUCAGAUAAUUUUCUCUUAAAUUCAAGUGUAUGUAAAUAAUUACCCAAAGCUCUCUUUAUAUAAGGAGAGUUUAAAGAGUUCAACUAUAAUUAAACUUAACUAUUUUAAUAUUAAAUUUUAUCUAAUAUUUAUCUUAAUAUUAGAUUAAAUUUAAUAUUAAAUCUUAUUAAAAUAAUAGAAUGUUUGCAGAUAAACAUUAAAUUAAAUUUAAUAUUAAGAUAAUCACUUUAAUUUUAAAUUAAUAAAAUACUAUUAAGAUAAGUAUUAAAUUAAAUUUAAUAUUAAACUAUUAAAAUAAUAUUAUUUUUGGAACACUUAAUCUGAAAUCAAAUUCUCUAGUAGAGUCCCAGUAGGAGUGUAAUUCUUUCACCGCUCAACCACCGAUGACCAACCGCCGCUAGCCACUAGGACGCCGCCGUCGUAACUGCCGGCACUGCCGUGUCCGGUGAUGCAGGUGUGUCACUCUUACGACACUUCAAGCCGAUUUAGCUGUUACCAAUUUGGUCUGGGUCAAUGAUAACCCAACUGUUUCGGUCUAUCCACUAGUUGGACAUUUGGCCCGAUUUCACAUACCAGGCCCGAUUCGACCAGUUUUUGGGUCUUGAUCUAGAUUUUGGGCUCCCAGGCCCAAUUUACGAUCUUAGGUCCAAUUUUCAAGUUUAAUUAUCAAUUGGGCCAAUUGUCUGACUUAAAAAUUAAAUACAAAAAAUAUCAUAUUAAUUUUAAUUGAUUUGAUUAAUUUAAUUUUACUUGAUCAAAAUUAAUUUUCCCAAAAGUCACUUAGAGUUUCUAAAUUAAUUUUUCAAGAAAAUCCUUUAAUCAAAUUCUCUAGUUGAACAAUUUUCACGACCACCUAAUUUAAUUCCACAUCGAAUAAAUCAACUUAAUUAAAUUAUUCCUAAAGUCAUAGAAUUUUCUUCUGAUUCAAAUGCAAUUCGAUCGAGCUUUUGUUGAGCUAGCAGAUGGACCAAUCGAGCAUAUACAAUUAGACUCUAGUGAUUGCAAUUAUGUUCAGAAGAAUUGUUUCGAUAAUUCGCAAUUACUUAAUUAUGGAGUCAAUUCAUAAGAAGUACCAUGAUUGAAAACUCCUUAUUGUAUACUCUUCAUGAAAGCAAUUCAUCCAACUGCUUUGUCCAAUGACCUUGUCAUGUGUGUGUUACCCUCAUAUGAUAUCCUUGAUUCCUUUGAGUUGAAUCCGUUCACUUAGUACAAUAUUAUUUUAUUUCAUUUUCACCAUUGUGUCUUCUUAAUGAUUAAUAUGAUCACUGUCAACAAAUGACUGUGAUAAAUUGCUUGUUUGAGAACAAGCAACCCGUGGCCACGUUCUAUAUAUCAAUCCACACAAUGCCAAUGAAAGGAUAUCAUUAACUCUUUAAUUGAGUUAUGAAUUCCACUGUUGCUAGUAAAGACAUGCCAUACACAAGUCAUGUACCCAACAUACCAACUAUGAGCUCGAUCAUCUUUAGAGCAUAAGUCUCCACUUAUAUCAAAGCACAUGAGUUGUAUACGCAUGGUCAGUGACUAACUCAAGAUUUAUGUAAAUAACACCAUGAACAUCACAAAUGAAUUAAUUCACAAACAAAUUCAUAAUUAAUUCAUCUUGGGUUCAGUCUAUUGUAUCAUUCUACCAAUGAAUACAUCUAUGUCUCUACUCGUGGAUUCAACUGCUCCAAUAGCCAAGACUAACCAUCUCCCCAAUUGGAAUUGUAGACGACAUAAUAAUCAUUCUCAGUAUUUUAAUCAAAUGCUCACUUUGAUUCUUUUACGGGAUUAUGGACUCAUUUAGAUUAUCUACUGAAGUAAGUUGUCUUUCUCGCAAUGUAAAUGUUCUUUACAAUGCCACUUAUCUUCAAUUUGAACUUUAGAUAAUUAAUGAGCUAAUAUUUUCUUAUCACAACUUCGCUAUGCAUGCAAAAUAUAAAACACAGAAAAUAAAAAAAAUAUAAUAGUGAAAUGUGAAAUUAACAUUAUUUAUUUAUCGUUCAAAUAAAUAGAAACAAUUAUAUGUUUACUACAAUAUGGACACAUUUCCCAAUAGUAACGUCAUUCAAUACAGUGGAAUUCAUAUCUUGAGACAUGGGUAAAUGAUAUCCUCUUAUUGAUAUUACAUGGUUGAUGAAAAGUAAACAUAACCAUUAGUCUUUCGUCUUUGUGAUAAAUGACUAAAUUACUAUUCAAUAGUAAUUGACUUUUUAUGAAGGAAUAUGUAAUGAUUACCAUGAAUAAAAUAGGAUCAUAUUAGGAGAAUGGAUAUUAUCCCAAAGAGAUCAAGGAUAUCAUAUGAGGAUAACACACUUAUGAAAAUUUCAUUGGACAAGCACUAGGUAGUUGCUUUCGUAAUGAUAUGUUGUUAAAGAAUCUCAAUCACGAUACUAUAGUGGAAUGAUUUCAUGACUAAAUGAUUUUAUAAUUAAUAGGUGAAAAGCUAGAACUUAAUUAUAAAUCAUUUGAGCCCUAAUUACAUAUGUCCAAUCGGUCUCUCCGCUAGCUAGUUGAAACUAGAAAUGAAUUGUGUGUUUGAAUAGAAAUGAACAACAUGAAUAGGAAAAGAGAAAUAGGAAACAUUCAGGAACGAUUAUGGUUUUUUUUAAAUGGAAAAAUGGAAUCAUUUAGAAAUGAAUGUAGGUUUGCAAAAUGGAAAUGAUUCAUUUGCAAUUCUAUAUGGAUUACUUAAAAAUGAUCGAAAGAAUGAGUUUAUGUUUCUGAGCUGUUUUAAAGCCUAGAAAUGAAAAUAAACAAUUUGGGCACAAUGAACAUGUUGAGUUGUGAAAUAUUAAACAUAUUUUCUCGAAUUUUACUAAGGUAAAAUCGUCAAAAUUUUACUAGAGGUAAAAUAAGGAUGAGAAAUUUGUUUAAUAUAAAAUAUUAAAGUUUAUUUUAGGAAAUAGAAAAUUGAAUCUGGUUGGAUCACAUUACAGAGUACUAGAUCAAAAACCCAAGAAGUACUUGUAAUUGGACCCGAUGUGAGAGAGGCCCAAAACCCCUCAUAUAACAUAGGGGGUGGCAACCCUAAUAGGAAUACUACAGUGUGCCAUCCACCACGCUCCAACUCUAAGUAGGAAGUUACUUUUUUAUUUGAAGUAGACUACUACAACUCAACAAGGGUUCUACCUUUUUUUUUUCUUUUAAGUAGAUGGUACCGGUUGAGCAUUAUAUAUAACUUUAAGAGAUUGCUACUCGGCCGAAAAAUAAAAAGAAUUUAUUCUCAACUAUCAAAUAUAUUUUUCUAGAAUAAUAAUUCGAUCGGUUUCUAUUAAGAAGAGAGAAUUUUUGUUUUCACCCCAAAUAAAAUAGAGAAAACUUUAUCUAGUUUUAUGUUUCGAUUCAUCUGGUUUGAGCCCACACUCGAAGCAAUUCAUGGUACAAGAAUAGCGAAUAUGAUCGUUUGGUUGAAAGUCGAGAACAACGAACGUCCGCUAAGCCAAAAACACAAGUAUGAAUUUGGUUGGGGUUUAUUGCAAUAAAUAUCACAAAUCGAGUCAAUUUUCAAAAUUUUAAUUUUCCGCCGAGAAAACCGUUUUCAAAUCAGGAUUUUUCCAACAAUAAUAACUGUCAAGUUUAAGGACGAAAAUGUUCAUGCCCCAAUGUAAUAAUAACUGUCAAGUUUAAGGACUAACUUAGACAUAGAAAAAAUCCAAACCCUAAUAUAAGAAUAGAUUAAUUCUUUCGGGAUUUAUUAUUAUUCUUUUCAAUAAUGUUGUUUUCAAAGUUCGAACCUAUAUUUUUUUUUGAAAAUAUGACAUACCUUAUCGCUUCACCUAACACUAAAAAAAAUCUAAUUUUAGCAUUUAAAUAAUAUUCGAAGUUUGUGCAAUGCAACUAUCUAUAGUUUACUUGAACUUCUUAAUAAUAAUAAUAAUAAUAAUAAUAAUAAUAAUAAUAAUAAUAGAUAAGCAAGAAUGAUUUGAAUAUUACUUGAACUUACAUAGAAAACUUACAUAGAAAAGAAGAUUACUUGAACAACAAUGAAGAUUACUUGAACUUACAUAGUCGUUGAAUCAAUUUGCUUAAUUUUGAUUCUUCAAAUUAUGGACCAUUUAGAUUACCUAUUAAUAUAAGUUGUCUUCUUGCAUCACGAUUCAGUCACAUGAUGUAAAUUAAUAUUAGUUAAAUGUUAGGUAACCAAUGAGCCAAUAUUUACUUAUACAUUUUGCUUUUCAUGAAUAAACCAUUGAGGACAAAUAUACAAAAUAUAAUAACUUUAAUUAUGGAAUUUUAGUAACCAAUCUGUUCAAAAAAAAAAAUACAAGUAUUAAUAACGAACAACUACACUAAGAGCACUAGAUCCCAACACCAUAUCUGAAGAUAGCCUAAUCCUAACCUUUCGAAUCAGCUCAUUUGUUACCUCUAAUUAAUAUAGAUUUUUAUUUGAAUUUAUCAUUAAAAUAUUUAAAAUGAUCUUUUGGAAUAACCACUUGUGUCCUUAUCCAUUUUUAUAGUCUCAAACUAAUAUGUUCAGGUGGGGAGUAAUAUUCAAACAAAGUCCUCUCACCAAUAAUGACUUUAGGAUCUAAACUAGGUCUAAAUUCCUUAAGAAAAAGUCCAUUUAUACUCUGUCCAACCACUUGUAGAUCAAACUUCUAUAUAAAAAGGUCAAUCACUAUUUGGGGCCUAAACUUGGGAAUAACUCCCACAUUGGGUUCUAAACUUUUUUUGUCCAAAUUAGUCCUUGUACUUGAUAAUUAUUCCCACACUGGGGCUUGAGCUCUUUUUGUCCAAGUUAGUCCUUAAACUUGACAAUUGUUCCCACAUUGAGGCCUGAACUUGACAAUUGCUCCCAAAUUGAGGCCUAAACUUGGAAAUAUCAAGGACUAGAACAAAAAAAAAAAAA
rnacentral:lncRNA from 1 species